rnacentral:lncRNA from 1 species
GGUCAGUCAUGGGCCUUGGACGUAGCCGCAGGAACCAAAGGGGCCCGCAUUUGGGCCCGAACCGGGUGUAGCUUCGACGGUUCAGGGCGCGGUGGAUGCACGACCGGGGACUGUGGCGGUGUUCUUGAGUGCACCGCAUACGGUAGACCUCCCAACACCCUAGCGGAAUACGCGCUGAACCAGUUCAACAAUUUGGACUUCUUCGACAUCUCCCUUGUAGACGGUUUCAACGUUCCGAUGGAGUUUAGCCCAACGUCGAAUGGAUGCUCACGUGGCAUAACAUGCAAUGCUGACAUCAACGGACAGUGUCCCUCUGAGCUGAAGACUGACGGCGGUUGCAACAACCCAUGCACUGUCUUCAAAACCGAUGAAUACUGUUGCAAUUCUGGAAGCUGUUCUGCAACUACUUUUUCCAAAUUCUUCAAGGAUAGGUGCCCCGAUGCUUAUAGUUAUCCCAAAGAUGACCAAACCAGCACCUUCACAUGCAACGGUGGAACUAACUAUAAGGUUGUCUUUUGUCCUUGAACCAAACUUCACCUUCAAACCCGCCUUUUAUAUACCAUAACUACUCCUCCACUACAUAUAUGUAUCACUCAAAAUAAACAAAAUAAUUAAGACGUUCGCACUUUGGUGUGCCCUUCUAUAACUACAUGUGUUUGCACUUCUACCAUUGAAAUGGGUACUUUCUGAAUAAUUUCUUUUGGCUCCUCCUUCCAAACUAUAACAUUAUAAGUAUUAAAUGUAUACCAGUAAUCUAAUCAAGAUGAGCUAGUAUUAAUUUCAUUUUCUAUUUGAUAUAUUUAUAUUUAUUAAAAAAAUCAUUCAAUAGAAAUCAAUUUUAAAACUAAAAAAUAAUUAAUUGUUAUAUUAACUAAUUAGAUACAUCAUAGACUAGAAUUUUUUUAGUUUCUAAAUUAGUUUUUAUUAUUGAUAAACAGUUUCUAAAUUUGUAUUUAAUUAGUUAUCAAAGUUUUUGCUACCAAAUUUAAAAUCUAAAUAAUUGGUAGUUAAAACCUUGGGAACUAAUUAGAUACCAAUUUAGAAACUAUUUAUCAAUAAUAAAAACUAAUUUAGAAACUAAUAAAUUUUGUAAUCUAUAAAACAGUUUUUAAUUUAGUCACUAUAUUAAUUAAUUAUUUUUAUUUAUAAAAUUAAUUUUUAUUUAGUAAUUUUCUUAUUGUUGUGACUAAUCUAUUUUAUGUUUAAGUUAAAAGUACAAAUAUUCAGAGAUGAAUUUAUUUUAUAUUUAUGAAUAAUAAUUUAUACUAUUAAUAAUGGAUUCUUUUUAUGCUAAUGAUGUUAUAAUAAUUUUUUUUUAUCCUAAAAAAGUGAAGGCAGCUAGGCAUAGUGAGGUGUUGUCUUUUAUUUAAUAUUAUAUCAAAAUUUUAAAAUUGAUCAACCACAUAACUAAAUUCUCCCUACACUUCUAUAUAAUUUUUAAAUACUAAAUAUACCCUCUCUUUUUUGAAAUAAAUAUCGGAUUGGUCAAUUUAGAAUCUAAAACCAGAUCCAAUAAUUAUGGAUCGGAUUGUACAAUCUAGUUUGUGUUUUAAUUUUACAACUCUAGUUUGUGUUUUAAUUUUACAACGAUACACAAUCGCAUAUAUGGUUUGAUGUUUUGGAUUUACAAAAUGAGGAUACAUUUAGUAUUUAGAAAUUAUAUGAAUGUGUAGGAAGAAUUUGUCAACCAAAAUUAGUAUGCAAUUCUUGUGUAACGGUCCAACCCAACUCAUUCUUGUGGACCAAAUGAAGAAGGACCCAAAAUGGGGAAAAGGGACGUUCGUAAGUAAAUUCUCCCUCCACCACCUUCAUAUAAAUUUUGAAAAGUCGAUUUAACUUUUAUUUAUAUUUAAAUAAUCUAAAAUGAAGCAUAAUAUCACAUUUUUAAAUAAUCUCAAUUGCACCCUCAUACUCCAUACCUCCUUUCUAACUGCAACACUUUCAUGCUUCUCCAACUACAGUGUUUGAGAGGGAAGUUCCACCAUUUGAGUGUGUGUAAGGGGAUUUACGAUAAUAUUUGUUGUAUUUGACCUUCUCCAGUGCAAAGAUAUUUUUUUAAAAAAAAAUUGUAAUUCAAUUUUGCACCUCACUGAUUUUUUUAUGGGUUUUGUGACUUUAAAAAAUAAGUGAAUGAAAACACAACCACCACGAGUAAAAAAAACUAUAAAAUUUAUCUCAAUCACUAACAUCCACCACCAAUUGCCACCAUUUGAAAAUAAAGAAGAAUACACCACACUCAUCACCAUACUCAUAAGGGUGUUGUUGGAAUAAAAAAAAUGGAGGUGAAGGAAGUGUAGGAAAAAUUUAGCAAAAGGAAUGGAAUUUGGAUUGAAAAUUUGGAUUUUCCACUUUUUAAAAAGCAAAUUAUCCCUCUACCUCUAUACUUUUCCCCUCCACCUCUAUAUUAAUUUUGAAAAGACAAUUUUAACCUUUUUAAAUAUUUUAAAUGACCCUACGUAUAAAACAUAACUUCACAUUUCUAAAUAACACCAACUGCACCCGUGCACCUCAUACAUCUCUUAAGCUUCCAACCACAACACUUACAUUCUUCUCCACCCACAACCUUUGAGAAAACAAUUCCAUUGUUUUAGUGUGUGUGGAUUGACAAGAAAAUUUGUUAUAUUUGAUAUUUUCUAGUGCAAAGACAUUUUUUUUUAGUUUUGUACUCCAAUUUUUCAUCUUGGUGAUUUAUUUUUUUUGAGUUUUUUGACUUUCAAAAAAUAAAAAAAUAAGUGAACGAAAACACAACCAACACUAUUAAAAACACUACAAAACUUACCUUAACCAUCAUCCAUCACAAGAAACCACCACUAUUUGAAAAUGAAGAUGAAGACACCACACUUCCAACAUACUCAGAAUAAUAUUGUUGAAAUUAAAAAAUAUAUAUAAAAAUACUGAAAAAAUGUAUGAAAGUGGAGGGAGAAUUUGAUUCAUUCCUUCUCAUAGUAACUAUUCAAUAUCUUAUGAACUUUUUUAAACUACAACAAAAUCAAUAAUUAUAAAUAUUGAUUUUUCUUAUACAAUUGCCCAAAUUAUGUCAAAAUUCACAAUAAAAGUGCCCUAAUAAGAAAAGUAAUAUCAAUAAAAUUUAAUUUAAUUCAUUUUUAGAAAACCAUAAUUUAAAACAUUACUUUUAUUUACAAUAUUUUCGACUGAUAGUUUAAUCAAUUUCCAUAUUUUUAUGCAUGCAUUCAACAUUUAAGAUUCAAUUUGAACCCUAACUUAAGAUUUUGGGGUAACAUUUUUUCUUUGGCACCAUAUUUUUCGAACGGAAUAGAGGGACAAUAGUUUCAUCAAGGAAAUCUCAUAGGUAAAGAGAUUGCAUGUAAUCACACACUGAAGUUGGUGUUCUAAGAUUUGUUGCUAACAAAUUUGAUAGCAAAUCAUCUCAACUUAUUGUAUUUAUCAUCCAUAAUAUGGUAUAAACUCUUAAGCUGUUCAAGGAUUUUUGUUAAACUCUUGAUAUGGAAUCAAAGUAUUAACAAUUUGGAAUGUGGGUUGGAUUGGAUUCAUGAAUUUUGUUAUAUGUAUGAUUGACUUGUAUUGUGAGAGAUAUUUUUGAAGUUCAAAACUCUAUCACUAGUGAUAUAAUAAGUUUUCACUCUCCCAAUAAUGCAAAUAAUAUUCGAUACAAAAUAUAUGGCUAAAAAAGUUUAAGCAAGAUAAAAAAACAUAUUAGUUAAUGUUCUUAUCUUUAUUUUCCUCUCCGUCAUGUAUUUAUAGUUGAUGAUUCAACUUUGUUACACAAUAUUUUAUUAUAAUUUUGAUAGUGUUGUUCUUUAAUCUUGUCAUGUAUACUUACUUAAUUUAACUUGAUUAUACAUGCUCGAGUAAUCUAAUAACAGAUUUUUUUUUUUACUUGUGUUAUAUAAAAUUGAAAAUAACGUGCAUAUAUGACAUCAUAAAUUAUAUUUGUGUUUUUCUUGUCAUCAUGCAGUAUAUAACAUUAUAUAAAGUAGUCUUAUACAGAUAAAAUAAUGUAUAAAUAUUUGUGAGUAAAUAAUAAAGUCAUUGUCUAUUUGGAUGCAUUGCAAGGGAUAGUUAAUUUAGAUAUCAACUUAGAAACGACUUUAUCAAUUUUUAUUAAUAAUAGAAAACUACUUUAGAUAUUCAUAUUUUUUUUUGUUUCUAACAUCAUAUCUAAGUUAGUUAAUAUAGUGACUAAUUAUUUUUUAUCUCUAAAUUUGGUUGUUAAUUAAUGAUUUUUUUAGUGAAAGUUGAGACUCGUAAGAAGGUUCUUGGAAUAAUUGGUGUUGGAUAACCUCUAAUAUUUAAAUUAGUAACUUUUAAUUAAAAAAAAUCAAUUUAUAGGUUUUAUGGUCAUCUAAUAAUAAAACUAAGUAACUAUAAAUAAUUACUUGAAUAAUGAAUUUCAGUUUUAAAUAAGUUAUUAUUUUUGCAUAAUUAUCAUUUGUUCUUUUUCUAUAAAUCAUUGAAUUAAAUUAAAUCUUUUGAAAAAUUAUCAUUUUGUAAAUUAUAAGUGAUUGGGAAUUGUUAGGAUGUGCAUUGAUUGAGAAUUUGUCUAGAAUGAGGUAUCAUAACACUAUUGAUAUAUUGAAAUAAUAUGGAUGAAGAUAUUCAUAUGAAUUAACCAUGUCAUACAUUUUGAAUUGAUUAAUAUGUAUAUGUGGUUGUGUGGGAUUCAUAAUGAUAGUAGUAUGACAGGUGCAAAUCUCUGAGUCUGAAUCAUUGCACGGGUCUUCCAGAAGUAUGGUCAAAUGUAUUAAUAUUAGUGGAUUUUUGGCACGAAUGAGAUUGAAUUAUGUAAGUGAAUUUUAACAUAAAUAAUGUGAAAUAUGAUAUAUUUAGAGACACUUUAUUUUUUUAGUAUAUUUAGAAUUAAGAAAGUGUGAUGAUUCAUAUAUGAAUUUGAUUAAAUGAUUCAAAUAUAAUUUCUUUAAAAAGUUUUAAAAAUUUCUAGUUUAUCUUACUUUUUUUUUGGUGUUGUUUUUUUUUUUUUUAAAGAAAAUUGCAAUGAUGAUGUGUUAUAUAGGAUUAAAAGAUAUUACAGGUUAUAGAUUUUCACAGUGAAGAUGAUAUUUUUUUUUCCUUUUGAUUAUUUUAAUAUUUUGUAUUAAUGAUAUAUAUUUAGAAAUCUUGAUAUAAAGAGAUAGUAUUUUGUGAUAUAAUAGUAUGAUAAUGCAAAUUUUAUUUAUAUAUUAAACUUCAUAUCAUAGUAAUUUAAUAAGAGAUAAUACAUUUAUAUAUAUAUAUAUAUAUAUAUAUAUAUAUUUUGCUGCAAUACCCAUUUAUACACACAAAACAAAUACUCUUCUAGUCUUCUCUUAUUGUUGUUUAAAAAAUUAGUCUCUAAAGGGAUUGUUGUUUAAAAAAUUAGUCUGAUGGCUCUAUGUUUCACCUUCACAACUGCAGCAUAUGCCGCAAGGUUUCACAUCACAACCCAUUAUUUUGUUAAGAUCCAAGAUUACAAAUACUAAUCAUUAGAUUUACUUACCACACUUUUUAUAAUGUAUAAUAAAAUUUGAGUAUAAAUUUGUUAGAAAAGGUCAUACUAAUCACGUCAUAAAAAUUUAUUAAACUAUAAUAGAAUUUUACCACAUGAUAAUAACAAAGAAUACUGCAAAAAAAUAUGUUUUUAAAUUUAUAAUAAUCAUAUAUUAAAACAAAAUUUUGAUAAUAUUUAUUAUUUUAAAAAUUUAAAAUUAUAUUUCUAAAUUUUUAUAUAAACAAAUUAUAAUUCUAAUAUUAAGAAAAUCAUAUAAAAGAUACAUAAUUUUACAACAUUGCAUAGACUGAAAUUGAUUAAUUAAUCAAAGUAGAAAGAUUUCUUGAUAAUAUGAGGUGUUGAAACUUUGGUGCAGUGCAGGAUAUAUAUAUAUAUAUAUAUAUAUAUAUAUAUAUAUAUAUAUAUAUAUAUAUAUAUAUAUANNNNNNNNNNNNNNNNNNNNNNNNNNNNNNNNNNNNNNNNNNNNNNNNNNNNNNNNNNNNNNNNNNNNNNNNNNNNNNNNNNNNNNNNNNNNNNNNNNNNNNNNNNNNNNNNNNNNNNNNNNNNNNNNNNNNNNNNNNNNNNNNNNNNNNNNNNNNNNNNNNNNNNNNNNNNNNNNNNNNNNNNNNNNNNNNNNNNNNNNNNNNNNNNNNNNNNNNNNNNNNNNNNNNNNNNNNNNNNNNNNNNNNNNNNNNNNNNNNNNNNNNNNNNNNNNNNNNNNNNNNNNNNNNNNNNNNNNNNNNNNNNNNNNNNNNNNNNNNNNNNNNNNNNNNNNNNNNNNNNNNNNNNNNNNNNNNNNNNNNNNNNNNNNNNNNNNNNNNNNNNNNNNNNNNNNNNNNNNNNNNNNNNNNNNNNNNNNNNNNNNNNNNNNNNNNNNNNNNNNNNNNNNNNNNNNNNNNNNNNNNNNNNNNNNNNNNNNNNNNNNNNNNNNNNAUAUAUAUAUAUAUAUAUAUAUAUAUAUAUAUAUAUAUAUAUAUAUAUAUAUAUAUAUAUAUAUAUUUGAGUCUCUCCGUAUGUAGUGGAUUAUUAACAACGCAAUAUACUUGCUUCUUUUUUCUUUUAUUCUACUUGCUUGAAUUUUCUUCUAUAUUACUUUACUAUUAAGAUAACAAUGAACUUAAAUAUUUAUGACAAGAUGACUGAAAGAAAAGGAGAGGAAAAAAAUGGGAAGAAAGAAUAUACGUAUGUUUGGUGAAGGUCACUAUAUAUAAUUAUUUUUCUAUAAGGUAGGCAAGAAAAAUAUCCUUGGUCAAUAGUUUGCUACAAUCAUGCCUCAAUUCACGUUUCAAUGUGCCCUUCUUCAUUAAUUUAUAAGUUCACUUAACCAACUUUAAACUUCAAAAAUUUAACUAAAACUAUUUUGGUAUAAGAACUGAUUUUUAGUUUAUUUAUAGAAGUUACUUCAACUAUGUUUUAAUUUAUUAGCAUAAAUUAUUUUUUAUUAUUUCGUUUACAAUAUUUUUUAUCUGUUAGUUUUUACAAUUUUUUAAAAUAAAUGAUCUGGUCUUCAAUCCAUAAAGAAAUCUAUUGAACACUAUCUUCUAGAAUAAUAUUUUCAAGAAUCACCAAAUUCUCAUGAGUGAUUUUAUGUGCCAAUGACUUUGAUGUUCAAAUUAGUAUUUAUAGGUUUCAUUCUCAACUAGACAUUUUCAAUACUUAUACGUUUUGAUUUAAUAUAUUUUGUAGUUUUUUAUUCAUAUUUUCAGAACUAUUCUCUUAUUAUUGUUACUAUAAAUAUUAGUUAAGGUAUAAAUAUAACACUUCACAUUUCACAACAAUUUAUAUAAUACUAUUAGUUGUGUUUAAUUUUUUUUUUCAUUAUUAUGACAUAUAAUAAAUAACUAACAGAAAAAAAGUUUGUAAAAAAAUAUUACAUGGAUUUUUAUACAAAUAACAUUCUCUUAAUAAUAUUAAAUAACAUCUACAUAAUUCAUUAGUUUGUCAAAUAAAUUCCCUGUAAGAAAUUACACUCAAGAUAAUUAAAAUAUAAGAACUUAUGUUUAUAUUAAAAAUAAGAAUUUAAUUUAUCUGCACUAGUAUAAUUUUUCUUAUAUAAAGAUCUAAUCUGAAUUCACUUUAUUCUUACAUUGUUUUUUUUUUAGAAAAAAAAAAUCCUAAUUAAGGCAUUACUUUUUUAAAGAAGUUAAUGACGUGACUGUAUUGUUUCUAGAUACAUUAUAUACAAAUAUUUCAUGGAGAAAUACUUUCACAAAUUUUACAAUUUAUAUAAUUAAUGAUAUUUCACAAAUUUUACAAUUUAUAUAAUUAAUGAUAUUUCACAAAUUUUACAAUUUAUAUAAUUAAUAAUAUAUUAACAAUCAUGCAUCAAAUACUGAAAAGAGAAACAACUUUAUAUUAAAAUAAAAAUAAUUUUAAAAUUAUAUUGAUCAACCGUUGUAUGUUAUUUCAAUUUGUAAUUGUCAAAGUAAAAUUUUAUAUAAUUUAUAUUUUAGUUUGAAAAGUAAUCAUUCAUACUUUCAAAUACACCACUUUUUAUUUUUAUUUUAUAAUACAUUAGGCUGACAUUUCUCACAUUUCAUGGUAUUGUUAUAUAUAAUUUGUUUUAUCUUUAUAAUAACCUCUUUAGUUGUUUUAAAAACACUAUACUAGUUGCAUUUAUGCCUUCUAUUAACUCCUUAAUUAGUUACAAAAUAUUAUAUUAUGUAUUGUUAAAAUUGUUGUAUAUUAAAAAAACAGAGUAUGUAUAAUUUAAAAAACUUUUAGGAGAUAUCAAAAUAGUUUUAUAACUAUUUGAAAUAAGAGUAACCUGAAACUAAAGAAAAUAAUAUUUAAAAAAGUUACUAUUAUAAAGAAAAGCAAUUAAAAUUUUGCUUUUGAGAAGAGAAAUAUAGAAGAUGAAAAUAGAAAAAUAAAAUAAAAAUAAUAAUAAUAAUAAUUUAGUAGCAUAUAAGUUACAAAUAAUAAGAAAAAAUAUUUUAAAAUAACGUAAUUCGAUUGAUUAAUAGAAGUGAGUAAAUUUUUAAAAAAUUAUAAAAGACUGGUAAAUCGUGUAAGAAAAAUCUAUUAUUUCAAUGUGAAGGAGUUGUGUUCCCGUUUAGAUGAAUUUAAAAAAAAAUAAGUACUUAAAAAACGAUUUUAAAUUUUUGUUAACUGUUUGAAAGCAUGAUUUCUAAUUUUGUUUAUUUCUUUUGUUUUUUUUUUGUUUUUUUUUCAUUUUCUAUUUUCUAUUUUCUUUUGGUUUUUAUUUUAUUUUUGUGAAAUAACAAAAAAUAUAUUUAACUUUUUAUUGUUAUUUAUUUUUAAAAUUAUAUAUUUAAUUAUUUGUAAUUGAAUAUAAUUUAGAUAAUUUAUUAUUAUAAUUUAAAUAAAUAUUUAAUUAGUUUAAGUAAUUAAUUAAUUAAUUUAUUUUGAAAUUGUGUAUUAAUUAUCUGUAAUUGAAUAUAAUUUAGAUAAUUUAUUAUAUUUAAAUAAAUAUUAGUUAAUUUAAGUAAUUAAUUAAUUUUUUAAUUAUUUUAUUUUUGAAGCAAUAAUUUAAUAAUAAUAUAUUAAAAUUGAAAACCAAAAAAAAUUUUAAAAAAAAUGUGAUACCAACCAGGUUCAGUUUUGAAAUUUAAAAAUUGUUUUUUGAAACACAACUUUUGAUUUUAAAAAAAUAAAACAUGAAAACAAAAAGCGUGCUUCUAAACACAAUUUCCUUAAUUUAAAAUUGCCCUUCCUCAUAUUAUUUAAAAAAAAAAUUAUGAAUGUAAAAUACAAAUCACAUUCCUAUCCGCCAUCACCACAUUCUAGUACUCUGCAUUUUCUUUUCUGAUUCUCCUCGAAACUGGGUCUGUUGUUUUUAUAUGAUAUAUAAUAUUAAUAAAAUAAUAAAUAUAAAUAUGUAGUUGUAUUCAAUUACGUAGCAUGCUGAAACUGUUGAAAUCAAAUAACUAGUAAACGUCAUCCUAAAACAUCAGUAAUGGAACUUGUGAAUUUUCUGCAACGAAAGUUGGCUAUAUAAACACUUGCUACCAUCAUUACUUCAACACACAAAUUAAAACACUCAUCUUUCUCUUGUCAAAACGAUGACUCCCUCAGUGCCCUUCUUCUUUCUAAUUGCUCUAUGCUUCACUUCUGCAUAUGCCGCAAGGUUUGACAUCACAAACCGAUGCUCUUACACUGUGUGGGCUGCGGCUGUGCCUGGCGGCGGUAGGAUGCUAAACUCGGGCCAGUCAUGGGCCCUGGACGUAGCCGCAGGAACCAAAGAGGCCCGCAUUUGGGCCCGAACCGGAUGCAACUUCGACGGUUCAGGCCGCGGUGGAUGCAAGACUGGGGACUGUGGCGGUGUUCUUGAGUGCAACGCAUACGGUACACCUCCUAACACCCUAGCGGAAUACGCGCUGAACCAGUUCAACAAUUUGGACUUCUUCGACAUCUCCCUUGUAGACGGUUUCAACGUUCCGAUGGAGUUUAGUCCAACGUCGAAUGGAUGCUCACGUGGCAUAACAUGCAAUGCUGACAUCAACGGACAGUGUCCCUCUGAGCUGAAGACUGACGGCGGUUGCAACAACCCAUGCACUGUCUUCAAAACCGAUGAAUACUGUUGCAAUUCUGGAAGCUGUUCUGCAACUACUUUUUCCAAAUUCUUCAAGGAUAGGUGCCCCGAUGCUUAUAGUUAUCCCAAAGAUGACCAAACCAGCACCUUCACAUGCAACGGUGGAACUAACUAUAAGGUUGUCUUUUGCCCUUGAACCAAACUGCCAUAACUACUCCUCCACUACAUAUAUGUAUGCACUCAAAAUAAACAAAAUAAUUAAAUAAGACGUUCGCACUUUGGUGUGCCCUUCUAUAACUACAUGUGCUUGGACUUCUACCCAUGAAAUCGAUACUUUCCAAUCCUUAUAUCUACUUUCUGUAUAAAUUUCUUUUGGAACUCCUCCUUCCAAACUAUAACAUUACAACUAUUAUAUGUAUCCUUGGGUGAUGUCUCCACUAGACAAUGACUCUAUUCUGCAUUCUAUAGUAGUAUUAAAAAAAUAUUAAAUAAAAAUAAUAAUUAAUUGUUAUAUUAAUUAAAUUAAAUUUUGUUUUAAAGGUUAAAAUAAUUAUUAAUAUCUAAUUUAAUUUUUAAUACUGAUAAAUAAUUUAUAAAUUGAUAUUUAAUUAACUAUUUAGUUAUUAAUUAUUUAAAUUUUAAAAUUAAUAGUUAAAAUCUUGAUAACUGAAUAUACAUCAAUUUAUAAACUAUUUAUUAAUAAUAAAAAUUAAUUUAAAUAUCAAUAUUUUUUAAUUUUAAUAUAAUAUCUAUUUUAAUUAAUAUAAUAAUUAAUUAAUUUUUACUUUAAAAUUGAUUUUUAGUUAAUAAUUUUAUUAUAAACACUCCUCCUUAAUGAUCAUUUUGUUAUCAAUCAAAUCAUGAGCGAACGUUAAUCGAUAUCAGCUAUAUUCACGACGUAAUAUUUUAUUAACGAUAUUUUCACAAAAUCCCCAAUGAUCAGAAAAGAGAAUUCUUGUUCGACUCUUUUGCCCAUAACAUAAUUUAUACUAUUAAUAAUGGAUUCUCUUUAUAAACUACUUUUUAUAUACAAUUCUUCCUAUUUUACUUUUUCCUCUUUAGAUUUUGUAACUAUUUUUUAACUCAAAUGGCUACUCACAAUAAAAGUAACUAUUUACAAUAAAAAAAAUUAAUAAUGUUUUUUAUAAUUUUAACAUAUUUUUUUUUUAACAUAUAAUACUUUCUUCAGCAUGGCAACCAGAAUAAGUGGUAAGUGGUACGAAACCUCUAGAUGGCCGAGGGAGCAUGAGGAGCCCAAUAAUGAAGGUGCAAUAUAACUCUUUCUUCCUGCACCUCCAUAGGUUCUUCUGCCAUCCCAUACAAAAUGUGAAAAUGCAUUUUUAUACUUCAUAUGUCACCCGCAUAGAGUAACUUCUGGAUUAUGUAAUCUGGACACGUAUUUGAAAAAAGACUUCUGGAUUACAUAAUCCUAAAGUUAAAAAAGACUUCCAGAUUAUGUAAUCUAAAAGUUAAUCAUGCAUAUGAAAAAAAACAUUCAGAUUACCUGAAAGCUAAUUAGGAAUUUGAAAAAAGACUUCCAAAUUACAUAUUUUUGAAAAUAAGAAAAUUUAUAAAGGUGAGAGAAUAACAUAUGGAGGUGCAGGAAGAAAAAGUUGGGCAAUAUAUAUGUGAAAUUUGGGAAUUAUGUAAAUACUAUCAAAUACAAAUCACAGUUGGCUUAAGGUGAACAUCAAUAGUCUUGAAAUGGAAGAAACCACGAUAUUAGAAGAUGAAUGCUAUACAACUUUUGCCUCUCUUCAGUUUUACUUACAUGAGGCUAAAGAAAAGCUUCCCAGUUCCCACAAAAUGUCUUCAGGACAGUUUAAUUACCUUCUGAACUUCUACAAAUAACGAAUGAGCUCCACUGCAAACUUCCCUUUCUUUGUGGAGUUUAUUUCUCCUAUCUAAAAGGCUAAUAUCAUAUCAUAUAUCCAAAGUCAUUCAGAUAAUCCAGUAAUUAUUUUAAGUUUUGGAAAGUUACCUUUAAUCUUCCCUUUCCACUAACUGAUAUAAUAUCUCCACUCUUGAGUGUGGUUCCUUUGGUAGUAACAGGGUUCCAGUUGACACGCACAUCACCAUUGCUACAACCAUAUGUACAACAAAGUUAUCAUAUGUAAACAAGGUCUUGUCAUCAACAUGCAAAAUGUUCAUUUGCCACAAUGUCCACAUUUCAUUAAUAUACACAUAGGUUAUAUGCCAAAAUAGCUACUGAAGUCCAAGCAGUUUUAUGAGCAAGAAAAUGAGUACAUUUCUGGAUAUUGGCAACAUUGAAAGAAAGGGGAAGAGUAAGCUAUGCAACUGGUCUGGUUAUAGCUAAUCAAAAAAUUCAGAGACAUUCAAUGUAUGCAUAAUUUUUGCAAUGUUCAUAAGUGUAUUGUAGGCAAUCAGCAAUUUACAGUUAAUUGACGGAUGAGAUAUUACAUAAGUCAGAGAUUACCAACCUGAUCAUGUUAACUAGUUUUGAACGUGAAAUCUUAAAUCCAGCGCUAGCAAGAGCAUCAACUCUUAGCGAUGCUUCUAUAGUUUUGAAUGAUUUUGUUCUGCACACUACACAAAAUCAGUAAAGUCUAACUGGAAAAUGUUAUGUGAAGUUGAGCCCAGUUCAAUACUGCACCUUGGUGGUUCAUAAUCAAGAGAAAUCAAUGGUAUCUUGGUGCAAGUUACAGGAACAUUACGAACCUGAGAAACAAGAAAGCAGUUGGAAUAUAAAUAGUAAUAAUAAUGCAAUACAGACACUGCUAAAAAAGAAGAUGCCUAAACUAUCCAUAACACCAUAACAUAGGUAACUGAAUUCCAUUAAUAAAAAAUUUACCUGCAAUAUUCACUUCCAGAGCCAGUUAUAGGAUUUUAUUUUUAUUCUUAAUUUUCAGAACCAAAAGACAAGCUGUAACUCGCAUGAUCACACAAGAAGAACAGAACUUGCAUUUGCUACCAUACCUACAUGUGCCGAAUUCGUUAACAUUUGUGCCAAAUACUCCUUGCUAUUUAAGACUUCUCUAAUAUCUUGUUAGUUUAUUAUUUCUAAAUUGUAUUGGAUUAGAUCCUAAAAGAAAAAGAAACAUAAAAAAAUUGGCCCUGAAACACACCAAAACAUUUGAACUUAUUUGUUAGCCUAUAAAUUUUUGGAAUGGACAUUUUAUUCUUAUAAGUGAACUUAAGCAAUAUUAUCUAUAUGAAUAUAAAGAUUUCUAUAUUCUUUUAUAUUUUAAUAUUCUCCAUACUAGAACCAUAGAUUUUUAAAAUUAUUGUACCUCAGUAAUUUGGAAACAACGUUCAUAUCCACAUCAAUGGCACUCAAAUAUUUACUAUUACAAUCACAACUAUUUCUUGUUCUGAUAAUUAGAUAUUUAUCUAGAAAAGUAAAUUGCAGAGAGCAUUAUGUGUAAUAAUAUUACCUUAACCAAGGUUGACAUGAGAAAUUCAACCAGUUCUGGCACAACAAUUAUCUGUGCACCCUGUUCUCCCUGGAUAACAAAGGUAAACAAAGUCUAAGUUUCCUAAAAUAUGUGUGGGCUGCUGUACAUGCACACUAGAUUCAAACAGAACAAAAUGGUAAAAUAAAACUAAGAACGAAUGCAAAUAAGGAAAAGUAAUCCAGGUCAUGUUUAUAAACUUAACUUGCAAUCUAGUAGCCAGUAAAAUUAAAUAGAACUACAGAGGUCACAUUUGUUAGUAUUGUUUUCUUUACAGAUUUGACUAAUUUUUCUUUUUUACACAUGAUUUGAUUCAUUGUAAGAAUAAUCUUUCUAUUAAAUGCACUUCGUUGAUCUAAUUAGAAAGAUAAUAGAAAUAUUGACUCAUCAAACAACAAAGAGAAGUCAUUAACUUUAGAGAUCAAAGCAGCAUUAGACAAAAGUCUUUUAGCAUGUAGAGGCCAAUAGAAGACAAGGAAAUUAGAGCAAAAUCAGCAAAUUGAAAAACCCAUACGAUGAAAAUGUCAUGUAACAAAUUGCAGAUUAUGAUGUACAAGUCCAUCAGAAGCUAAUAAUUAGCACUCAAUUGUGGACAUAGCAAAUUUUUAAACAGAACCUUCCUGAAAUAAAUCUAAUAAAAGAAAUACCUGCAAUAUAAUAUCCCCAAGUUUCUCCCUGACAAUUCCUGUUCCAAGGAUUGAGCCAAGGAAGUCACCAUGUGAGCAAGGUUCAAACUGGAAGUUCCCUUUAAUGCUGAAAAAAGUAAUUUUAUGUAAAUAUUAGCAAACAUUUUUAGAAACAUCAAUAAUGGAUCUAGUGAGUUUGGCAAUGAAAUUAGAAGAUUUAACCUUAAUGCUGAAAUAACAUCUGGAUCACUAGUCAGUUCUUCUGGAUGUCCAACAGAAAUCCGACAACGUUCAGCCUAGAGAGAAUACAAGUUUUAUGUCAACACACAAAUUCAGAUAAUUUUAGUAUCGAAGGACUGAAAAGCAUUUAUCUGGAUAUUUUUACCUGAGGGUAACCUCCUUGAGAAAUUGCUUUCACAUCUGCUAAUUUUUCCAAAACUAGCAUAGAUUCCUUUAGCACCGGAGGGGUUAGAAAAUCUGUAUGGAGAGUCUCCCGCUUCAAUGAUGCCCGUCUAGCCUACAACAAAUGGACAACAACCAUGCCAGGGAUUAAAUAAUGAUGUAUGGGGUAGGAUUUUAAGACAUGCAAUGGUCCAAGGGCAUCUAUUUUUGACAGAGAAUCAACAUCAAACUUCCAUGCAGAUAAAAAGGAGUAGCAAAGAUUCAAAGUCGUUGUGUGAGGUAUUGAUGUUUAUGGACUAGAGACCUAGGGAAAACAAGAAAGUACCAUCUCAAGAAUAUGUUUUACUUCUUUUGUUACAUUUCUUUCUCCUACUCCCUUGACUAACACGUCAACUUCUCCAUUUGAAGCUUGUACUGCCUGGCUUACACCUGAAGCUGCACUUCAAAAAAACAUUAAAAAUGGAAACUUGAUCAUGAUUGAGAAUCCAAGUAAUACAUACUUUACAAAACCAGCAGCUCAAAAGCGGCAAAAGAAAUCAUGAUUACUUCUUUGUUAUCACCCGUUACACCUCUUUUCUAAGCACUAAUCAAUAAUAAUACCUUAAAAUUGGUAAGCAUAAGCCUUUCCCAUGUAAUCAAUAGUCAAUAUUUUGUGAGCACACAAGGCCUAUUUUUCCGAGAUCAACACGCCUACCAAUAUGUUGGCACUCUUCAGUCUUCACCAAACCAACCUACAUUACAAUGUGUUUUCUCAUCACCUAGAACAAGCCUGCCUUUAAAAGCCAAUGAAGUCAUAUAUGUUACCACUCUUUUCUUGAAAUCUUUUACCACUCAUCACCUGGUCAAGCCAGAUCAAAACCAUCAACUUUCAUCCAAGUACAUAUUCCCCAGACUGCCAAAAAACAUCACAGCCAAAGCUGUAUUACAUUAUAGGAAGUCGGUUGGGGCUAAAACUUGGCUUUUACGUUUUAGGUCACUUCUUGAAAACAUUGAUCACAGCAAUAGUUGAUUUGGUUAAUUGACCCAUCAAGCACUUUAAUCAAUAUUAUUCUAUGAGUUUCACCUAUAACACAUGAGUCUCAACAAAAACACACUUGAUAAUGUUUCUCUUAGUACCUGUUCCAGACCCACACCUCGGAAUUCAGAAAGCAGAAAAUAGAAGUAAACACUGAUAUUCUGUAUUAUUUGCAAAUUAAAGGAAAUACAAAAGGAUAACAAAUCCUACUACCUAGUGCUAGCUCCUCUAGAGCAACUAGAGAGGUUCCCCUUGUCUCCAUGAGAAAAAAAACUCCGCCAUAAAAAACUAACAGAAAAUAUUACUCUCUCCUCUAACUGCCCUUCCCACUAGUCAUACCUACCACCUCAGCCAUUGGUUCUUCUUUCUCACACUCACACAUACUCUUCCCCAUUCUGGCUUGCUCCCUUCAUGGGCUAGUGGUUCACGAAAACUUACUCUUUGGGUCUCAUCAGUACCAAAGCCCGUUCACUAUAGCAGGUGUGUACAUGUGUAUCGAAUUCAACAUGAUCAGUGCAACAAGAGGGAACACCCUUGCCAAAUUACAAAAGGCAUGCAUAUAAAAUUCAUGAAACCCCUUUGUCCAUUCAGUUAUGUAAAUUCAUAUCCGCAUUGAGUUACAAACAUAAUGCACCUCAAAAUUAAAACAACAGGUAAUGAAGGUAAGUAUAAGAUUAUGAGGUUUACCAAUUGCAGACACAAUUAAUGGGAGUUAGUAUAUGUCCUGAAUUAUUGAAUACAAAAUUCCUGUGUCUUAUUGUUUGAAUUUGGUAUUUCAAACAUUCAGACAGGACAGUUACUAACUUCCUAUUGUGGCUGAAAUUGAUAAAUCUCAUCCUCUUAUCUUUAUCUUCUUUAACGGGUAUUUUGACACACCCACAAUUUCUUUUAUGAAAAAGAUUGCAGCUUUUAAGAGAAUAAAACAUAAUGGGCAUGUGAAGGCGAAACAGCAUCAAUUUAAAUAUUGGUAGCAUCAAUAAAUAAAGGAAAAUUCAAAAUCGGAAGAAGUAAGUAUAGACCUGAAGAAGUAGAAACGGAUAGAAUCUGAGAGGAAAGUUUCCUUUGGAAAGAGAAGGUGGCAUUGGUGUUGAAGAUAUGAGAAUGAGAUAUUGCAAAAGCCUGAGCUGCUCUUCUUAGAAUACAUGCAGUUCCAAAGCUUGUGGCAGCAGCCAUGGUGGUUCCACCUUUGUUGGGAUUACCUUCAACUCAAAAACACCACAACAUUACGAGUUAUGUUGUGACUCUUCUAUUUAUUAUUAUUAGCGGAAACUCAUCAGUUAUGAGUUUUAACAUAUAAUUUUAAUAAUUAAAUUAAAAUAUAUUAAAUAAAUUUAAAUUUAUAAACAUAAUUAUAUUAAAGUAAUUACCAUCUGUUUCAUUCUCAAUAUAUUAUGUUAUUUUUUAACUUCUUCGCCUCUACUUAUUGUACAAAAAUAAAAAAUAGAAUAAAAGAAAUAAAAAUGAGGUUGUAAAAGCUUUUGUUCGAGGAAUUUGAGCCAGAACCAUAAAUAGCUGGUGCAAUGAAUUUGUAUUUUACAAUUCAUAAUUAACCUUUUCUGCAUGUGUCUUUUAUUUCAAAAUCAUUUAUGAAUUCUAAUUUUCAUAACGCAAAUUACCCUUAUUUUGGAAUGCAUUUUCUAUAAUAUUAAAAAUAAAUUAUACAUAGAAAUGUUUCUAAAAUAUAUAUUCCAAAAGAUUCCUUUUAGAAUUCGAUUUUUGGAGAUUAUUUAUUUGUCUUUGCAUUUCAAACUUGUAUUGAAUAUUCAUUCUUACUUCAAUCACAUAACACAACCUUCCAAUCACAAUUUUGACUUCCAAUACAACUUGCCAAACUAAAUCUUACCUCCACCUCCAUUGAAAUCAACUAUUCCCAAAAACCAAGAAUCAAAAUUGCAAAAGUAUUUUAAAAAAUUAUAUAAUACAAAUACCAAAAUAUAUAAUGCAAGCAGUAAAAGCUUUUGUAAUAAAUCCUUAUCUAUAGUCUAGUCAGUCCUUAGCCCUUCAAGUAUAUGAACUCAUUAUCGUCUCCAAGAAAAUUGAGGCAGCCCAAAUUUACAUGCCAUUUAAAAAAUACAUUGAAUCUUUGGAUCAAGAUACUACAAUUGAUGUGCUUUCUUUAAAAAAGAAGUGAGUGGCAGGUUUAGAGAUAACCACUUUUUUAGUUUCAUAGCAUUUAAUUUAAAUAUAACAUCAAAAACAGAUAUACUCCAAUUGAAUUCAACUAGGUUAUAUAAUCAAGCUACUUAUCUUUUAUUUUUCGAUGCUAAUUUUAAUUCAAAUAUUAUAUUUACACCAUUUUAUUUUCAUUCUUAUGUGAUGAUAAUUUAUUUAUUAUUAAUUGAUCAAUUAAUUACAGAUAAAUGAGUAUGCGGAUUAGUCUGCCUAACAAAAAACAAGCUAGUCUGCAAUUCUUGUGUAACGGUCCAGCCCAACUCUUUUUCUUAACAAUUGCUUUUGGGCAAUUGCUUCCUGCACCCAAUUUGAGUUGGGUGGAAAAGACGAAAAUGUUCUUAAUUAUUAUUUUUUGUAUUGUGGAUUUUCUUAUUCUUUGCCCUUUUGAUUUUUUUUUCUGAAUUUUUCCCGAACACAAAAAACUCUUCCAAAUCUACUUUCUCAAAAAGCAUUAUUUUUUGGAUUUUCAUUUCCAAGUAUUUUCAUAAUUUUAAAAUGACAAUUUCUCCCUCCACCAUAUCAAUUUCAGCAUGCACCCAAUCAGUUCUAGAAAAUGAUAAAAAUACCCCUCCUAAAUGACAAAAAUAACCUUACACAAAAAUGGGAAAAAUUAUUUUUGAAACUUUCAUCUGAAAUAUUUAGGAUUUCAAUUUUCGGAACAUAUUUUUGAAUUCUGAAUUUUUUUAUCCAGAAUGUAUUUUUAGUUUUGUGUUCAGAAUUUUUUUUCCAGCAUGUAUUUUUAUAUUUCUCAAUUAUAAUUAUUAUUUUGGAUUUUUUAAUUUGAAAUAAGGGUAGUUUUGGAAAUUUAAAAAAUUGAUAUGGUGGAGGUUAAAAUUGAUAUGGUGCAGGAAGAAUUUGCCUUUUAAAAUUGUGUUGGGUACAGAUUCACAAAUAUUGAAUGUAGGAAGAAUUUGCCUUAGCCCAAAUUAUGUCAAAAGUCACAAAAGUGACCCAAUAAGAAAAAUAAUAUUAAUAAAAUUUAAUUUAAUUUACUUUUAGAAAGCCAUAAUUUAAAACAUUUAUUUUUAUUUCCAAUAUUUUGGACUAAUAGUUUAAUCAAUUUCCGUAUUUUUAUGCAUUCAACAUUUAAGAUUCCAUUUGAAUCCUAACUUCUAAAGAGGAUGGCCAACUGGAGAAACUUUUACCAAUAUCAAAAGGAAUUGCUAAUCUUAUUAGGAAUACUGGUUAAAUACAAGUAGAUUUUACUUAUUGAAAUGCUGCCAAAUUUUUAUUCUCAGGGAUUAUACAUUGGACUGCCUAAACAAAUAAACCAACAUAGUAUUAGGUAGAGCGAUGCCUAUUUGUGAGGAAAACAUUCAUUGAUGUGCAGUAAUAUUUCUCAAGAUAAUUCAAGGCUUCCCCGUGUAACCCCAGGGAUUGUUCUUUGCCCAAUUCCACUGGUCCCUGCACAUCUCCUCCACACCAUAUUUUGCCCUGAAGGAACAGCCAAAUUAAUAUUAACAAACAAAAAAACAUAGUUACAAGAUUUGUCAAAUAUACAAGUUUAAUGAAGCUUAGUAUGCUGGUUUUUGAAUUUUGAGAAUCUAGAUUUUUCAGUCAACAAAAUCUGCUUGUCAAAAACUCAAACGAUUACCAUUUUAACCAUGCAAAGGAUUAAAGUACUUACUUCCAACCAAGCUCUGUCUCAGCUCUCUGUGUAGAUGCAUAAACCUCCGUAGCAUCUCCUGGUCUUCUUGGACAUAAUUUUACUGGAAUUUUCUGAAAAUUUCAUAUCCCACGGAAAAAAUAUUUAGUUGCGAAAAGCGAUUGAUUUACAUGAUAUAAAAUUUUACCAUUCUUACACCAUUCAAUAACUCAUUCCUUGAGGAAGAUGCAUAAUUUACCUUGCCAGAAGCCUUUUCAAAUGCUGCAACCAUUUCAAGCACAGAUGUUCCACGACCGGUUCCCAGGUUGUAAGCAGUACAACCUGAACAAAAAUAUAUCACAUUUUACUUUAGCAUAGUGAAAAAUCAACCGAUAAAUAUCAUAAGGCUAAUACAAUGACACACAAAUUUGUCCAUGUAGAUCUACCAGGGAAGAAAAACAACAAUUCACCUAUGUUAUCCGAUGUGAAGAGCUUUCUCAAGGCAGCAAUGUGACCAUCUGCUAAGUCCAUCACAUGGAUAUAGUCCCGGAUCUUAUUUUGAAUAAGGGGAAGGAAAGGAGGAUUAGAAUUUUGCACGGGUAAAAAAAUAUGUUUAUACUGUUAUUUACUUUGUCCAACAUGCACACUUUUUUCCCUAAUGCCCUGUCCUAUUAUAUGAUGUAAAAAUAAACAAAUAAAUAGGUGUAUUGUACGAACCGCAGAGCCAUCCCUGGUUGGAUAAUCAUGACCGUAUACAUUGAGUUCAGGCAACCUUUCAACAGCUACUUGCUGAAUGUAAGGCAUGAGAUUAUUUGGGAUGCCCUUGGGAUCUUCACCGAGUUUACCACUUUCAUGAGCCCCAACUGGAUUGAAGUAUCUCAGUAAUAUGAUCUUCCAUUCUGGCUCGGCUUUCUGAAUAUCUCGGGCAAUUUCUUCAAGGAAAAGCUUCAAUGAAAUGAAGUUAGAGUAAACAGAGUUAAAAUCAGUUUUUGAAAAUGCCAGCUUAUUCCGAAAAACAGUUCAAUUCAUCCUAUCUUUUUAUUUCCUUUUCCUUUAAAUACUUAUAUUAUUGAUACUUAGAACCACAGGCUGCCAACAAAAAAAGGGAAAAAAAAAAGCAAAAGUGAAAGACAACUCAGAACAAAGUGAAGGUUACCUUGGUCCGUCCAUAUGGAUUCAUAGCAUGCAACUUGAAAUCCUCCUCACACGGUAUCUUUUCAGGUUGGCCAUAAACGGUUGCAGAAGAUGAAAAAACCAUCUGUGCAGAAACAUGAUCAUGUUAAGUAAUAUUCUACACCAUCACAAGAGAAAAAAGUUAAAGGCAAGAAUCUGAUUCUGCUUCCUUGUUUGGAACAUAACGUAAAGCAUAAAAAAUCCUCCCACGAACGACUUGAAAGUUAAAGACAAUUAUGGACCAAGAAACCCUUCAAAAAUAAAUAAAAAAUAAGUUUCUACAUAAAAUAAAUUAGUUUAUAGAUAAACAAUACUUGAGAAAAACUAGCUUAGGAAGAAACUCAUCUAACUUUUUCUUUUAUUUUCCUUUCGUGGAAGUUUCAAGGCAUAUCUUUUGCCGAAAGAAACCUGUAUAGACUAUAUGUACAUGUUAAAAAAUAUUGUUAAUUCAAAUAUUGAAUUCAAUCAAACAUGUCAUUUUCAUGAUAAAUAGUGACAGCAGAGUUAAAAUCAGAAAUGGGUGAGGUGAGAACCUUUUUACAGUUAUACUUGGCCAUAACUUCGUAGAGAUUGAUGGUGCCGACCAAAUUGAAAUCAAAGUAGCGACGCGGCUUCGCCACGCUUUCCGCAACCGCCUUGAGGCCAGCGAAGUGGAUAACGGCAUCGAAUCUGUUUCAGUAUAUGAUCUCAUUAACUGAAACACUAACAAAACGUAACAAAAACUAUAACAGGAAAACGAGAAGACGCAACAUAGAGCUUACGUGGUCCUGGAGAAGAGUUUCUCCAAGUCGUCCCUGUUUCUGAGAUCGCCCUGCGAGAAGAAGAGGUGAAUUUGCAGUAUGGAAAGUUAGAGAGUGAAAUGAAAUGAAAGAGGAAGAGAGUGCAGACCUUGGUGAAUUCGAGGUUCUGAGAAAGAUGAGGGCCCACCACCUGGCGUACCCGGUCGACCGCUUCCAUGACGGAGUUGUCGAAAUUGUCGAUUAUUGAAACAGCGAAGCCUCCUUUGAGGAGCUGCACGACGGUGUGGGUGCCUAUGAAACCGGCACCACCGGUGACCAGAAUCUUUUGGGAGGGGGAAACCAUUUUGGAGAGCGCGAGAAGAAGGAGAUAAUGGAGAGUGAGAGCGAGAACGAGAAUGAGAAUGAGAGAAAUGGGAGGUGCGGUGAGAAUUUAUGGAGCGAGUGAGAGAAAAGAUGAAACGAGAUAUGGAAUGUUUAGUUUUUUUUCCUUUCCCUUUCUUUCUAAUCCGUUUCGAUUUGUUCCUUUGGCGCCUUUCUCUUUUUUUAUUAAUUAAUUAAUUAACUCAUUAUUAGCUAAUAAUCAUUAUUAUUAUUAGAGUUCUGUUAUUGUUUUGUUUGGUUUCGCGCGUGGGACCCACGCGGAUCUGCGUUGGCUGGGCACGCACGUGACCUCAUGCGCGUGGGGUUAUCACCCAACCUUUCUAGUUUCGAUAUACUUAGUCGUCUCAUCCUCAUCUCCUCACUCUUCUUUUCGGGUAAUAUCACGGUUUAUUUGUAAGAUUCGUUAUUGGUUGUGUUAUACAUGUGUUUAUUAUUUAAUUAAUACAAUCUUAAUUUUUUUAAUUCGUUAUUAAUUUUGGUCAAAACAUAUAAUUAAUUAUUCACCAGUCUAUUAUAAAUCUGCCUUUAACAAAAACUUGUCAUUACUAUUAUUUUUAUAAUAAGAACUUAAUUCAUGUUUCUAAGGUUGAUCAUUAAUUUUGUCAAAAUAAUUAAUAAUUCAUUUUAGUAAAACAUAAUUGGGUAUUAAAUUUUUCAAAAAUAAUUAUUUAUUAACUUUGUUAAAAAAUAAUUGUUUAUUAAUUAGUCUGUUACAUAUUUUUUUUUAUUCAGCAAUCAUUAGAAUAAAAACGUAAUCUAAUUUUGAUAGUAUAUUAUGAAAAAUUGAUAUGCAUUAUAAUUGACAGUGUGAGUUGAGUGUAAUUGAUAUUGAGUUAUUUUUUUUAGGCUUACACGUGGUUGUGUUCUCUGUUAGCUUUAUAAGUAUGGGUUCUAGGUGCUAGGGGUUCCGUAUUCCAGUUUUUUUUUAUUAAAAAAUAAUUUAAAUUCAAUAUAAAAAUAAAACUUGGUUUGAUUUUUUUUUCACUCUUUAAUUUAGAUCAGAUUUUACUGGUUUCCUUAAUAUAAAAAUAUAAAACACUUGUUGAAUAAAAAUAUUUCUUGUUAUUUUUUUAUAACUAUUAUCAUAUUUAUUUUUUCAACUUACUCGUAUAUUAAUAAAUAAAUUAUAUAUUCUUAUAGUUAAAAGUUAUUAUAUAAAUUUGUUACCAUGUUUUCUAUUCUAAUAUAUUUAAAAAUGUAAUAUUAAUAUAACUAUAAAUAUUCUACAAACAUAAUUUUUUAUAGUUAUUAGUUUUUAAUUAAUUUAAAAUAUAUAUUUUAAUACAAUAGUCAAAUUUAUUCGGUUCUUACUUUUUGAAUUGAAAAAGUAAUCAAAUAGAUCAGUUGAAAAUAAAAUAUAUAUAUAUAUAUAUUUAACAAAGUCAUUAUUUUAAAAUAUUAUAAUUUAAUUUAAACUCUAAACCCUAAACUAAUACGAUCUAGAAUAAUCAAAUAAGUUUAUUAUAUCAAUAUCAUUAUCAAUGUAAAAAUGCUGAAAAAAUUACCAAUGUAAAAAAUUUCACAUGGAAUGAUGUGUUUAAAUUAUAAUAUUUAAGUUACUUCAAACUUCAAUGUAUAUUUCGUGAGAUUAAGUUAUAUUUAAAAUAUAUUUUUUAAAUAAAAAGAUAAAAAAAAAUAUGAAAAAAUAUUUCAUUACAUAAAAUUAAUAUAUUUAUAUUAAACUAUCAAAAUUGAUCAAUAUAUCGAAUCAAUUAAUUUCUUCAAAUAUUUAUUAAUUUAUAAAAUGUAACAUCACAUCUAACUAAUAUACAAAUACUCAUAAAAUAUUUUGAUUUUAUCCAAUAUAGACUCCACGUAACUAAUUAUGCUUUUAAAGCAAUUAGAACAUUUACACCCAUAAACAUGCACACAAAAGAGAAGUUGUUAAAUUUUUUGUGCCUACAAUCCUAUCUACUCAUGUACCAAUUACAAUCAUGCUAGUCUCAUAAAAUAACUAGAGAAAAUAGUAAGCUACUAAUACAUUUGACUAUAAUCAAAACAUAUUUUAUUGUCUAAAUCAUUACUUUAACUACAUAUAACAUAUAUAGAUAAGUAUAAAAUAAAUAUACAAUAGAAAAUUCAAAUAAUAUCUUAAAAAAUAAUCAUAUCAAGAAUGUUUUAUUUCAUACUAACAUUUAACUCGUUUUAAGCACCUCAUGUAUACAAAUCUCGAAUUCAUAAUGUGUUUAGAUAUGCAAUAAAAUAUCUUUCAUAUUCUCACUAAUUGAAACCUUAAUUUAUAUAAUUUAGCUACUUAGUGAAACUAAGAUAUAUCUAAUAAUCAUAUGUUGUUUUAUUUAAUACAUAGAAACCGGCAAUUAAAGUGAAAAUACUAUUAUUAUGUAAAAAAUUACAUAUAUAUUGUCUAAAUAUAAAAUCAGUAAAUGUAGUUGCGAAAAAUAGAAAUAAUAAUAAUAAUUUUUGAAAGAGAAAUUUUUUUGUUAACACUGGACACAGUGAAUAAUACUAAUCAACAACCCUUUAUAAUAAUAUUAUAAUAUUUUUAAUUAAAAAAUAAAAUGAAAUUAGUUAAAAUAUUAAUUAAUUUAUUUGUUAAGAGUGUAUUUUUACUUUGUAGGUAGUGUCAAUGUGUAGGAUCUUUUGAAAGACAGCUAUAAUCUGUGCCUGCUUAGAAUGGAGUGACGUGUUAACGGAGUGGCGCAAUUGAUUGACACGCAAGCAAUCCUUUCUUGAAAUUGUGAACACGUAAUCAACAACCCAUAUACAAGCACUGCCCUCUAAACAUACAUAUUAACAUUAAUAUAACAUUUUUUGUAAUAUAAUUAUAUUAAUAGUAUUAUAAAAAAGACACGUGUUAAAUCCUCAAAACUGAUUUCAGCCACGUCAUCUCAACAUCUUGUUAGCGUGUCCUACUCUUGCCACCGUGUAAGACAGGUGCCAAUUUUUUUUAAUAAUUCUAAAGACUAUAACUCUUAAUACUAUAAUUUUAAUAUUUUUUUAUAUCAUUUAAUUAUAAAUUUAUUUUUUAUUAUAUAUUUAUUUUUAAAUCUAUCACAGUAUAUAAUUUUAAGAAUGGUAAAACUAUCAUUUUUCUAUUUGAAAUUGAGUUGAGAUUUAAAAGUUUUGUGAUUUAAAAGUUUUGUGAUUGAUUUGGGACUAAAAAACCUAAGACUGAAACGAGGUUAUCCAAAACAUUCAUUUAUGAAGUGCAUUACUUUAGCAUGUUCCAUAGUUGUUGUUCCGUGAACGCAAGCCUCUCUCACCCGAGAAAACAAGUUAGAUAAGCAACUACAUUUGUCUACAUCUUCAGAGCUUCAGAAUUCAGAAUUCAGACUUCUACAAUUGUGAGGUCGAAUGGAAUAAUAACAGUAAUAGUUUGUUUGAUGGUGUUCUUCAUUCUGAUAACAGUGAUACAUCUGCAAUCUAAAAUUUAGCAUAAUGAGUGAAAUGACAAUGGUGAUGAUAAGAUAAAUAUGUUGCCCAACCGACAAUGUGAAAAGCCCAUGGGCCGACAUGUUUCGACAGGAAACAACAGUACUUCAUUGAUCGGAGUAGUGUUUCUGAGGAGGCAUUUCUGUGUAUGCAAAAAACAAGGUCUUGUAAUUGUUUUUAAGUAAAAAUAGAGGUAAAUCAUUUUGUUCUUGGUCAAAUUCUUCAUUUCCGCGGACACUCCUCUUAAAUAGCGUGUCGGCUCGGACACCGACACUCGUAUGAUACCUGUAAGACAUGUAUUCGUGAAGUGUCCAAUUCAAAAAGUAUUUGUUAGAUUUCUGACAAUUCUAGUAUGAUUGUGAUACAAUUUUGAAAAGGAAAAAUACAUUAAUUUUCUAAAAAUUCAAAUUUUAUUGUAUGAAUUAUUAUUAUGAUUAUAAAAAUAAGAAACAAAUCUUUGUGAACCAGUCAUGAAAACAUCUUUCUGCUUUAAAAAAAAUUUGGAACAUACUUGUGCACAUAAAUCUUUAUUAUCAAUUUAUAUAAUUCAUAAUUAUAUAAUAUAUAUAGAUCCGUAUUUUACAUUUUAAAUAUUUUACGUAUCUCUGUGUCCGUGUCCAUGUCGUAUCAAUGUCUAUAUCAGUGUUUAUGGUACAUAAACAACUUAUAGACUAUACACAUUUUAUUCCCUUUACUGUUUAAUAUUUAAGAUGUAUUACCAUUGUUUUCAUGUCUCUCAUAUUUUCAUCAUGAUUUGAAAUUAAAAAUUUAAGAGACCACUCAGAAAAAUAUUGUUAUUUAUAAUCAUCUCCAAAUAUAAAAUAUAAAACUUCUAUGCUAUCAUAGGUUGACACGUAUUAUCUAUUCCGGAGUAAAGUAUAAUGUAAGCACACUUAAACGGUAAACACCUUUAAAUAUUAAAUAAUAUGUAUGCAUACAUAUAUUCAAUUAAAAAAAUCACAUGUAAUUAUACAUUUGUUAUGUCCAUAAAAAUAUUAAAAAAUUGUUACACAUAACUCAUUUAGUACUUAAACAAGAAAUUAAAACACUUUAUACCUUUUAAAAUUAAAAGACAUAUAUUAAUAAGUUUCAUCAGUAAUAAUAAAGUAACUAAAGAAAUUCUCAUGUAAAAACUUUAUCAUUUAUCUUUACCUAAUAACUUAAUUUAGAUUGUCAAUAAAAUUAGAAUAUAUUCAUCUAAUAAUGAACUUCAAUAUUUAAUAUUAUAUGAUGGUAUUUUUUGAUCAUCUCAUUUUAGUAUUUGUCAAUAGAAAAAUCUCGACUUCAAACAAAUUUUACUAGAUCUUACUGUGAAACCAAAUAUUAUAAUCAAAAUUUCUAGGAUAAUUUUAAGGACUCAUGUUAGAAUAUUCAACAUUUUCUGUCCUUCUCUUUGAUUGUAGAUCCUAUUUAUAAACAAUGUAUACUAUUAAUCACCAUACUAAAAACGUGUCGUCCGUUGUCUCUCAUAUUUUAAUCAUGAUUUAAAAUAUUUUUAUCUUUACAUUACCAUUUUAACUCAUUCUAAACUUAAGUCUACAGAAGAUAGUUAAUAAUUUUUUUUAAAACUUUUUUUAGUAUACAAUAUUUAAAGUUAUAUAAGUUGUCUAAAAUUAGAAUAUUCAAGUUUAUUGUCUAUUAUGUUCUUAUUAGGACUAGCAUGAUGGUGGUGUGCAAAAUAUAUUUAGGUCAAAUUAUUUUAUUCAGUGGAGUGAUUUAUCCUUAUUUUAAAGUAGAAUAAUUUAUUUGUAUAAAUUUGUUUAGAAAACUUUAUUACACAAGACUACGAGAUCCAUCAAUCGAUAUCAAUAAUAAGAGAUUUAAACAAAUGUAGUCAUUAUAAUCAAUCAAAUGACCACUCAAAUGUACAAUUCUUAUUUUUAUUUAGAUUAAAUUGGAUUAAAAGAAAAUCAAAGUACCCUAUCCAUAUGUGUUGGUUGAAUUUUUGAUGGAUUUAUUUAUAGAGAUAAUUCAUGUAUAAGGGUUGAAAUAUCUCUAAAGUAUCUUAUUUAAUUUAAUUUACAUAUUCAUUGCUAAUAAAAAAAAAACUAGUAUAUUUUACCAAUAAAAAACUUUUAGGAAUAGAUGGUCACAAGAGUAUUUGUUGUUGACGCAUGUUUAAAAAUAAUCAAAAACAAAAUUUUACAAUGCAUGUUGAGAAAAUAAAUAAAUACUUAAUUAAUAUUUUUUAUUUGUUUAAAUGAUUAAAAAUCACAAAUUUUAGUCGCCUUUCGGUGUAAUUCAAUGUAGAAGGACAAGUAUGUUAAAACUUCAGAAAAAAGGCCUUUUCAAGGCCCAAUGUGGUGUGUACACUAUUAUUUUCUGCACCUCCAAUCUUCCUCCCGCACUGUAUAUAUUUUUAAUUCUAACAAUAUCUUUAUGAAUAUGGUGAAGAUAUCUUUAUGAAUAUGGUGAAGAGUGAUCUCUUCCUUUAUUUUUAAGUGAUUGUAAUUGCUUGCUUGUUAUGACUGAUGAACGUUGGAAACUAAACAAAGUUACUAUUAUAAAGAAACAAUUAAAAAUUUUGCUUUUGAGAAGAGAAAUAUAGAAGAUGAAAAGAGAAAAAAAAAAAAAUUAUUAUUUAGUAGCAAAUAAGUCACCAAUAGUAAGAAAAAAUUUUUAAAAAUAAUGUAAUCCAAUGAUUUAAUUAAAAAAAUAAGAAAAAAGUAUAAGAUAUCGCAUAAGUCUCAAAUAAUAAGAAAAAAAUAAUGUAAUUCGAUUGAGUUAAUAAAUAUAAAAAAGAUACCGCUUAAGUCACAAAUAAUAAAACGAAGUUCAGAAGAAAAGAAAUCUUAACAUUAUUUAAAAUAGAAUAAUUUAGUCGCUUAAAAAAAUGUUAAAUAUUGAAAAAAAUAUCAGAAAAAGAAGAGAAUGAAAAUAAAUAAAUAAAAAAUAGUAAAAUAGUUAUGGCUUAUAUUUAUCUGGAAACCGGUGAUUGUGUUGUUUCAGUCCUCUAAUUAACUACCAUGAAAUAUAAAAAGCAUUUGUGUCUCUCUAAGAACCUUUUCUGAAAACUUUUUCUUUCUGAUUCUCCAUAUCUCAUUAUUCUUCAUUCAAGAUGCCUCAGGGAACCCUAGAAGUUUCUCUUGUUGGUGCCAAAGGCCUUGAGAACACAGAUUAUCUUGGUAAGUGCUUAUUUACACACACAAAUGUUCCAUAAUCUGUGUCAUAUUCAUCUCAAUUUCUAAUUUCUUUUCUUUAACAUUUUCAUCACACAUGCACCAUCUGAUGGAGCAGCUAACAUGGACCCUUACGUGAUCUUCACGUGUCGCACUCAAGAGCAAAAAAGCAGUGUUGCAACAGGUACACUCAUAGAUCAAACAAAUUUUGAAACAUGAUUGUUUAUUAUUAUAAUCAAAUUAUGAAUGCAGGUAAAGGAAGUAAUCCAAAGUGGAAUGAAAAUUUUGUGUUCAACAUUUCUGAAGGCGUUAACGAACUCAGGUUAAAGAUCAUGGACAGUGAUUCCAUGUCUGCCGAUGAUCUUGUCGGAGAAGUUACGUGAGUCUUUUCUCCCUCAUUUUUCUCUCAGCUCAAAAAAACUUUAUUAUUUCUUUUAAUUAAUUUAUUUAAAUUGAAUUAUUUAUCUACCGUAUCUAAUUUUGGUAUGUAUGUAUUAUAGCAUUUCGCUGGAUGCAUUGUUCAGGGAAGGGAGUAUUCCACCUACUUCAUACAAUGUUGUGAAGGAUAACCACUAUUCUGGGGAGAUUAGAAUUGGCCUCACUUUUAAGCAACGGGUAUGAAUUGUUCUUUUUUUUUCUUCUUAUUUUGUUUAUCAUGUUUAUAUAUAUAUAUAUAGAUAAUUAAUGAUGACAAAUGCUGAUAAAUCAUUCUCCAACAUGUUGUUUAUUUAUAGUUAAAAUUUGUUGUGAUCAUAAAUUUUGAUAUGUAUUACAUUUUAAGUUAAUUAUGGUAAAAACAUACCUUUGAGUGUGAAUGAAUCAGAGGAAGGUUGUUUGUUCAUCAUUUUCAUUAUAAUAUUUAUAAAUGAAAGUUAUAUAGAAGAAACAAUGAAAUUGUACUUGUUUAAUACCGGAUAUUUGUUACAUCAUUUAAUAAUUUUAUCAAAUAAUUAUAUUUCAGAAUUUCCUACUAAAUUAAAAGAUAUUAUCUUAUAGAUCAUAUUUGAAAUGUAUAUUAAUUUUAAGAUUAUUUAAUGUCAUUGAGAUGGGUUCAUAAGAUUUAUGUAAUGAAUAAAGUGUGUUUCAUCUUUGUAGAGUAUUAGUUAAAAUUUGAGUGUGUUUUGUGGUUGGUUAAUGUAGGAUCACAGGGAACGCUGCAUAGAGGAAGAUUUUGGGGGAUGGAAGGAAUCUGGCUACAGAGACUAAAUGUAUUUAUGGCAUUUCUGAGUCUUGAGUACUAUUUAUUGUGUGAGGAGACAUUAGCAUUCAGAAGUGAUAGAGUCAUGUCAAACAUAUUCUGUAAGAAAAAGAAGAAGCUCAAUGUUAAACAUUAAAUAAGUCUUGCUUAGUAUCAUGUAUCAUAUACAUGAGAAGAACCAUUCUCUAAUGAUGACCAAUGUAGUUACAAUUUUGAUGAAGAAAACUUCAAUUUUGGUUCCAUCAGGGUACACUCAUCAUUGUUGUUGUUCUGUCUACAUUUAAAUUACAUGAAAAGCAGAUAACCUAAUGCCAUAUUAAAUCUUAAAUGUGUAAUAUUUGUUUGUGGGUAAAAGGGAAAGAGAACCUUGAUAUUUGAUAUAAGAGUUAUUAGCUAAUAAAGAUAAAGAAAGUAAAAAGAAGAUUAGGGUUUAGGGUUUCUUAUUAUGAUGUUUGACAAGAACAUCUACGGCUGAAUCGUGUGGUAAUAAGGUGAGCAAACUCAAUGAAGAAGAAGAUUGAUAGCCAUAUUAAAUCUUAAAUGUGUUUUGUGGGUAAAAGGGAAAGAGAACCUUGAUAUAAGAGUUAUUAGCUAAUAAAGAUAAAGAAAGAAAGUAAAAAGAACAUAGUACAAAAUCCUUAACUCAACUUAAAGAUUAUAAUGAUGUUUGACAAGAACAUCUACGGUUGAAUCGUGUGGUAAUAAGGUCAAUGAAGAAGAUUGAUGGCAUUUUGAGGAUUAGAUUCAAUUACAGUAUGCAUAUAUAACCUUUAUUCCAUUUAUUUAAUAACUGCUAUUAUUAAACGCCCACAUUUUGUUGUUGAUUAGGAGUUAGAACCACCCUCCUAUUAUGACACUGAAUUAAUAGGGAAAAAAAGCAAAUAAUAGUUCCAAAUCCCAAUUCCUAAUAAAAUAUUUAAAAGAGGGUACAAUCAUUUCUUUAUAAUUCAAACCAGAGUCACUUCAAUAAGAGACCACAAGUCUGUUCCACCAGUUGUGUUAACCAAUAUUGGUGUUUUUAUGGUAGUUUAGUUAUGAGCUGGUAUAAAAUCAAGAAACUAAACAAAAAAAUCUCAAAAAAAGGCAAAAUUUAAACAGGCAAUUGUUAGCGUAUGCCUUUCAUAGCAUUUUCUGAUGGGGAAAAAAAAUAAGAAAAAAUACUAACUAAACCAAUUAAUAACUUGACAGACAAAGUACGGUCGUUAGAUAGUGUGACAACAACAGUUGGACUUGUGUACCUCCUUACUUUGCUUACCUAGAUCUUCCUCAACAAACAAAAGCAAAACACUAACCGAGACCUUAUGUUCACAAUGUAUUUACAAAUGUCACAAGGAAAGUAAAAGGAUGCUUAAUGACAAACAUUUUGCAGUCUACAAAAGUAUAACUACAUACCAAUAGUAGUUAUCCUGGAGGUAGCGCCAAACAUCUAACUAGCUUACCUUCUUUGAAAAUUAUUGUUGCACUGAGAAAAGUGUGUUUGAGGAUCAACUCCAGCGAAACCUUGAAUGCUUGUUUUUUCCAAGGGUAGGAAUGAAGAGCUUACUGAUGACUGCUGCCCCGGCAUGGACUUAGACCCUGUAUCAUGGAGAAAGGAGAAAUCGCUUUGUGAAAAGCUGGAAGAUCUGAAAUCUGGCAACAAUGAGACACCAUCCCUCCGUUCAUGAUAGUUAGCCGGUUCCGGGAAACAUCCUUGGAGUGUUAAAUUUUCCUCUACUGGUAUCACACCUGUAAGAGUCUUAAAUGCAAAUUCUAGGCAUGGGUCCGACCAAGAAUUCAUAAACGGUGCACAAUACUGUAACUCCGAAUUAUCGUGGUUUACAGCUCCAGUUUCAAUUAGUUGUUGCUCCGUUGUGACAGUUUCACCCUCAACUGCCUGUCCAUUUUGCUUUAAUGGCUCAUGUGCUAGUGUGUUUAUAUUCGUAGAAUGAUGCACAUGUUGUGUUAUGUUUCCAGUGAGACUAGGUUCCCCAUCCAAAUUCUUAAGUAUGUUGUAUUGAUCAAAAUCUCUAGUUGUAAACUUAGGAGCAUUUUCAUAAGAGGUGGAGCCGGUCCUCAACUCAGGUUGACUAACCAUAUUAAGCUCCUUAUUGUGAGAGGAUUGGUUCGAGUUAUCAUGAACUUCUUGAUUGAUGUCUGUCACCACACUUCGAUGCACUUGCUUAUAUGGCGGAUUAUCAAAGCCAGGAGGCAAAGCAGGCAUAAUGUCUCCACCAGCAUCAACUGGAAAAGCACCAGUGAGUGUCUUGAUAGCAAAUUCUAGGCAUGGAUCUGACCAAGAGUCCCCAAACGGUAAGGGGAGCUGUGGCUCUGAUCUCACAUCACCAACAUUUUCAGCUUCAACUUUCUCCAAUUGUUCCUUGUGAUCGGUUUGGGCAUCAUGUGACUUCUCACUCCGUUUUAAUGGUUCUCCAACUACUUCUGUUUUCAAACUAUCAGAAACUUGAAUAAGUGUAAGCUUGGUUUCUUCCCCGGCAUUGUGAUAAUCAGACACUCCAUUAGUUAAAGUAGCAGUGACACUUGGCUCUUCUUUGCAUGAUUUUCUAGUGGAAUAUUCAAGAGCUCUUUCAGCAGGCGGUAACUCAGGUUGAAGGCCAGCAAGUCGCUUUGAUAAUCGCACAGGUACUUUGAGCUCUUUCUUUCUCUUGGGUUUAUUAGAACGUACCUGGGAUUUUCUAUCCCUGCUUCCUGUAACAGUGUCAUGUAAAUUGUUUUCACUGUCCCUGCUUCCUGUAACAGUGUCAAGUAAAUUGUUAUCACUGUCCCUGCUACCCAUAACAGUGUCAAGUAAAUUAUUUUCACUGUCCCUGCUUCCUGUAACACUGUCAAUCAAAGAUUUUUUAAUAUCGGUUUCAGGGCCUGUAGAAGUGUUUUUUCCGGAUUCGUUUUCAACCAGAGUUUUUUGAACAUCAUUUUCAGGGAUUGUAGUGGCGCUACUUCCCUUAACAUUGUCAAUCAAAGUUUUUUGAAGAUCAGUUUCAGGAACUGAAGUGGCACUUCUGCCCAUGUCAACUGAAGUGGCACUUCUGCCCAUGUCAACUGAAGUGUUUGGAAUAUCAGUUUCAGGGACUGCAGCGGUGCUUCUUCCCGUAGCAAUGUCAACUGAAGCCUUUUGAAUAUCAGUUUCAGGAACUGCGGUAGUGCUCCUUCCCGUACCAUUCUCAACUGAAGCCUUUUGAAUAUCAGUUUCAGGAACUGCAGUAGUGCUCCUUCCCGUACCAUUCUCAACUGACACUUUUUGAAUAUCAGUUUCAAGGACUGCAGUGGUGCUACUUCCCGUAACAUUACCAACUGAAGUGUUUUGAGCAUCAGUUCCAGGGAUUGUAGUGGCACUUCUUCCUGGAAUAUUGUUAAACAAAGUUUUUUUAAUAUCAGUUUCAGCAACGGCACUACUGGUUAUAUUAUCAGCUGGUGGUAACACACCAGUGAGGGCAUUGAUUGCAUAUUCCAAGCUUGGGUCAGACCAUGAAUAGUGAUAUGCAAAGGACAGCCGAGGUUCUGUUCUCUCAUCAUCCAUCUCUUUUCCACAUUUCUCCAGACGAGGUUCAGACUUUCCUCUUUUAUUUGCUGACUUUCCAUUUAUUGGACCAGACUGAUUUUGCUGCAAUUCCACUUUGGAGUUCAUUGACUCAUGCUCAAUAGCAGCUAAUCGUUUUGAAGCACGACGAGGAAGGUGGUGCUCUUUCUUUUUACCUGAUUUAUUUGAUCUGAUUUGAAUUUCUGGCUUAUUGUCUUCUAUUUUAUCUGUUUCUUGCUCAUGUGGUUGUUCUUUAGGAGCUGCUUGGUCCACAGAAAUAUCAACAUCUAGAGUGUUUCUACUGUUCCUCAAGUUUCUUUUUGGAACCUGAGGAGUCUGUUCAUUCAUCACAUUGUUAACCAACUGUACGGAUUUACUUCCAGCAAGUCUCGGUGAUGAUCGCUGACGUACAUUGAACUCCUUCCUGAUUUUGGAUAUGCUAUGGUUACUGUGAUUCUCAUUACCAUUCUCCAUUGUAUUCACAGCAACCUCCUUCUCUUGCACAUCAUCUGCAGAAAGUGCUUUUGCUGAUUCCUUCAAGGAUUCAUUUUUCAAAAGUGCUGAGCUACCUGGGUCAGAUGUUUUCUUCAAUUCAGAUGAGUUUGCAGCUCCAUCGUCUAGUGAAUGCAUCUUUACAACAGAAUCACCUAUGGGAACAGAAGCAACCUUCGUUGCAGCCUGCUUCAGCUUCCGUCUCUUGGCAGCAGGUGGUGGCUAGAUUGAACAAAAGAAGGUAUAUAAAUUAUUCUUUAUGAAUUCUUAGAUGCAAACACAAAAAUUAAUGAUUCCGAGACCCACUUUAAGAUUGUUCUUUGUUAAUCAUUCAGAGCUUGGACUACUCAUCAUAUACAAUUCUACAACUUUAGACAACUAAAUCAACCAAAAUUUAUAAAGAACACUGUGCAAGUAUGCAAAUCUUAAAAAAAGAUAAAUUCUUAACAUGCUUGAAAUAAGUGAGUCUUAAAUCUGACGUGAUUAAAAAAAUCCCCUAGAUUUCAAUCACUUAUUGACAGCUUGAAGUAAGAACUAAUGAAUAAUAAGAAUACUCCAUAAAAGCAGCAAUGAUAAUAUGGUAGUCAUGCAAAAAUAUCUUACAGUUAUGUUGUCUUCAUCUUGGAUUUGUCUUCUACUUGGCUUAAAGGCACAUGACCGAACAUCACCAGAUUCAAGAUACCGCAGUACAUCCUUCUUAGAGCGGAAUACAUAUCCACUCACUGGAUCAAUAUAAAACUGUUGGAAGUGUAACGCAAUCAUAAUUUAUAUAAGCAUCAACUUUUGAAAAACUGUAAAUGUAGCAUGUAACUCAAUAAACCAAAACAGAUUUAUUUGCAACCCUCUUCUCUAAAUGGGAGAAGACAAUAAUCACUUGAUUUGAAGGAGAAAAAAUGUAACAUUACAUAAAAAUCUAUCUUUCUUAUAAUAUGUAAAAAGAUAUCCUUUUGGGUGAAAAAUUUUCAUACCGGAUCUUUCCGAAUGCCCUUGCUGUUCUUUGUAAUCUUUAAUUCUUUUACCCACCCAGGUGGUAAAUCCUCCGCAAUAGACUUCUCAAUCACAAUCUAAAACACCAAAAAGCUUGGAAAAUUAAACAUAAAACGAUGUUACAUAUAUAAGUUAUAAUUCAUAAAAACAUUCAAUGGACUAAAUAAAGGCUCAUCCAAUAAUCAAUUUUAUAAAAGCAAGGCUAUAACAUUUAUUUGUAAACUUUCUAUGUCUUUUGUUUGUAAAAGUGUAAAUGUGUUAGCACACAACCCAAGUAGACAAAAGUCGCAGAAGAUAUGAAAUAAUUUAUUCAACCUGUAAGAAAGAGACAGACUAGGGCUUAAAAUUCUUACCAUUCAUAGUGUUCAACAAAAGAAACACAAGCCAAAUUGUUGAUGUAAAUGUGCAAAGAAACAAAUUCAUAAACUUGAGGCAAUAAGAUGAGGCAGUCAUUUAAAUUUCAUGAAUGGGGCCAUUUUCUUAUGUGGGCCACAUUCUUUCAUGGUUUAAAUCUAUAACCUUUUCCUCUUGUGGUUGUAUUUUCAAGUUAACUUUCAUACCAUGGUCCUUGUUGCACAAUAAAUAAUCAAUAGUCCUGCAUUUAGUGUGAUUUUGGGUUCAUAACUUCAUAAGCCAUAAAUCAUCAAUCAUAUACUUAAGAUGAUAAUAAGAAGAAUCAAUCUUCAAUCUAAUGAUAACAUUCAUAAUUCAUUAAUAACAAACAGAAAAAAAUGCAAGGAAAAAGUGAUACAUACAUCAAUUGGAGAAUCCAUGUUACUGCAAUUCUUCUCCUUCUUUGGAGCGCAACUGCUGUCCUUUGCGGAAUCCAUGUUAGUGCCUAUCUUCUCCUUCUUGGAUGUGCAACUGUUUUCGAUGGAAGAAUCCAAGUUACUCCCAUCCUUCUCCUUCUUGGGAGCGCAACUGUUGUUUGGAAAAUCCAUGUUACUGUACUUCUCCUCCUCCUUGGGAGUGUCACUGUUGUCAUUUGGAAACUCCAUGCUAGUGCUUUUUUUCUCCUUCUUGGAACUGCAGCUCUUGUUGUUUGGAGUCUGCAUUUUACUGCAUUUCUUCUCCUUGGAAGUGCAACUCUUGUCAUUUGGAGUAUUUAUCUUACUACAUUUCUUCCCCUUCUUGGAAGUGCAACUGCUGUCCUUUACUGUUUCGAGAUAUCGUAAUACCUCUGGUUUGGAGAAGAAUUUGUAUCCUUUCAAUGGUUCGAUGUAACACUGGAACAAGAAAACAUUUUUAUAGUGAGAGAUAAGUAGCUUUAAUAAUGUUGAACUGUUGAUAUUAAGAUGCCAGAAAAAAAUACCAGUGACAAAGCAAAAACACAUAAAAUACCACCAAAGAUUACAGAAUCACAUGAGCACAUCAAUUAAAGAGUGUAGAAUUUAGCCUUUUAAGAAUAAAUAUAAUUACCAUCGUAAAAUUAAUUGAGCAUGAUCUUGAAAGAUGUAACCUAAAAUCCAGCUCAUCAAUUUAGGACAAAUGUCACAAGCCAGACAAAUUGGGGAAAACAUUAGUAAUGCUGUAACCACCAUACACUUAAGUCAUGCGUGUUAUGAAGAAUUGAGUUUGAGAUUUUCAAGUAAACUUCUGCUACACAAUUCUCCAAAAACUAUUCAUGAUUCAAGGCCAGAAACUUGUGAACAGUGCAAGUUAUACACUAAUAAUGUCAACCAUACAUUAGUGGCAGCAGUAAGUAACUACAUGACUAACAUCAAGCUGGUGUUUAAGGAGUAAUAUUAAGUUGCUGACAAUCUACAAAAGUAACAUCCAAAUUAAGAGAAUCUAUCUCCCACCUUGUAUCCUGAUCCCAUGUGUAAACCACUUUUACGGAUUCUGACUUCCAUGUUCCAGCCAUCAGGUAACCAUUCAGGAUGUUCGUCAGCUUUUUCUACACUCUGAAAUUAUCAAAAUGAACUAAGUAACAAGUGAUAAAGAUUUUUCAUAAAGUUGGGGUAGGAAAAACCCCAAAAUAAAAAAUCUUCAAAAUUCAUACCCACCUGCUGUUUGGAAUUAGAAUUUGUGUUACUGUCAAUCUGUGUAUUGGUUUCUUCAGACUUUUCAAUAUCAGGACUUCCCAUUUUCAGAACGUGGGUUAUGUUAUUAAAGAUAAAACAAAUUCACAAAAGCCUCAAAGCUCUGUACAUCUCCCUUAUCCCAAUAAUCUGUAUCCACUGCAAAAAAACUUGCAGUCUGACUCGUUUUAUUUAGUCAAGAAAGAGGGAUAAGUAACAUGCAACACAUGUUAGGAGCCACAACUUGCCCACCAAAGUAGACUAAGCCGGAUUUUUCCCAUCACCGCUGAAACCCUGCAACACAAAACAACUCUCAUGAAUCAUAAGAAAGAAACGGCUUCAAUGGACAUGCAUGUGCCAAAAUCAAGAAUAACAUCAAGAAACAGAUUGAACUCAUCGAAACACAAACCCAGAACAACCAUGAAAAUGAGGGCAACCUGGUCAGAUAGUUUUUCACUAUCUCCCAAUCAAACCGAAGAUCAAAUUUCUUAUAUGAAGAGAAGAAAGAAAGCAAAAAACAUACUUUAGCAAACCAUAAUCUUUGGUCCUUGGUUGGGAAACACAAAGGGAAAGUACACAAAAUAAUAUAAAUGAAUCUAGACACAACAGAUGCAUUGAUUUCUACUAAAACCUCAUCCAACCCCCACCUCCAAGCCUCCAACCUCUUGCCCCAACAAAUCAUCAACAUAUUCGAACAAAAUAACAACACCAAUCAAAAGUAACAAUUACUUGCACACACACAGACGAAGCAAAAACUACCAUGCUACAUAAACUAAAAAUUAAGCUAAAAAAACAAAAUUAGGUAGUAGUUACACUGAGAGAUGGAGAGAGGAAUUGGUGGAUCCAGCGAUUUUCGAAAGGGUGAAAGUGAAAUUGUGGGUUGGCUAAGGAGAAGUGAGGGUAUGAUAAGAGUUUCGAGGAUUGCUUUAGAUGCUUUUAUUUGUGUCUGAGAAUAUUUAAUCUGAGUCCACGGAUCCGCCUCCCAUCCCACGUGUUCUAUUGAAUGAAAGAUUGAAAUGUAACACACUUUUUGUUUCUCCCAAAAUUAUUUUUAUUUUACUUAAAUAAAUGUGUUAGGUCAGUUUUUCUCUCACUCACGCAUCUCCCAAACACUUUUACUGCAUCAUUCCACUUUCACUCUUCUUUUUUCUUCCUUCAAUCUCUUUUUCAAAUGGAAAAUAAUUGCAUGAUCCUGUCUUCAUUUUUCCUCAAUAAUAUAUCUAUUAGAUUAUGCUAUAAAUAAUAUGGAAGAUUCAGGUAAUAAAUAAAACUUGUUGCAUUUAUUUUUAUUUGGAAUAUACCACAACCAUUUUUUCCUCCUUUCACCUAAAUUUACUCUCUUACUACUACCUCUUUUUAAACAUUUUUUUUUUGUAUCCUUUGUCUUUUAUUCUUAAAUUAAAAUUUAACGUUGUUGAAUCAAAUUAAUAUUUUUGUCAUUAAAUAUCUUUUACAAUAGUAUAUUUAUAUUAUGAUGGUGAUUCAUAAAAAAUAGUGUGGAAUUUUUUUCUCCAAAUACCAAUAAUACUAAUGAUUUAAUAGCUUCUGAUUAAGUUAUACGGGCACACACGAGUUGAGUCUAUUAAAAAAAUUAUGUAAAUAUCAUUUCAUUAUUAAAAAAAAAGUUAAAUAUGUUUUGGGAAAAUUGGUUUUCAUACCUUAUACAAACAAACAUAUCGUAUAUGUGUUUUUAAGUAUGAAAAUAAUUAAAAUAAAUAAUUUUAUAUAUGAAAUUGAUUUAAUUUAAAAUUUUACUUUAUCAAUCAAUUUGAAAUAAAUAUACUAAACAUCAGUUUAUAAUCAAAAUAAUAAAAAGAUUUAAAAAAUAAUUUAAUUUUUAAAAAAAAAUUAACAAUCAUUUUAAAUACAAACUCAUUUUUAUUAUUUUCUUACUAUAUAUACCUAAAUAGUCUAAAAUUUUAUAGACAAAAAUUAAAUUUGUGUUAUGAUAUAGGAAAAAAAACAUAUGUAUAGUUAAAAAAAUAUACACAUAUUGCAUGCAUAUACUCAAAAGUCACAUAAAUAAAUAGAAAAAAAAUAUUGAGAAAAAUGUUAUUACUUCAUUGAAUAAAUUCAUCAUAAAAUAUAAAUAAAUUAAUUUUUUCCUGUUUUCAUCUUCUAAAGUUAAUUUAAACAUGGUGAUAGUAUAAAAAUAUGAAACUAGCAUCUAAUUAAAAAUCAUUAUAUAAAGUAAGAUGGCUAAAGAAGAAGAAAAAAAUCACCAAAUCAGAAACACGUGGCUAGUCCAAAAAGGGAAGUCACAUUGCCAAAUAGAGUGAUUAAUUGAAGUGAGAAACCCACCUGAAAAAUGAUGUUAAUACUUUUAGUCUAUAUAACUUUUUUAAGAAAUCUUGAUAGUUGUUUUUUUAAUUAGGAAUUUAUUAAAUUGUUAAAAACAUAUGAAAAUGUUAAAAAUGCAUAUUUUGACGUAUUAUAAUGAAAAAAUCCAUUUUAAUGUUGUAACUCCUAUUUUUAAAAUGUUUGUUAUUUUUGUGUUAAAUAUUUUUUUUUAUAUACUAUAACACAAUUUUUUUUUCUUGAUUCAAACUUUAUAUCAUUGAGGUAUUUAUAGUAAAAAAAUAGUUGAAAUUAUCAUUUUAUAUGUAAAAUGAUUGUUUAUUUUUUAAAAAAUUUGUUGUUAUUUUGAUGAUGUCUAUGAAAAAUAGUUUCAAUGGGUUGAUGAAGUUGAAACAUAAAUUGAAUCCAUUAAAAAAAAAAAAACUUAUUCAGAUCAUUUUUAUACUAUAAACACCUAUGUGAUUUAAAGUUUGAAGUAAAGACGAAAACAAAUUUUGUGUUAUAAUACUUAAACGGAAAAACAUAUUUAACUUUUAUUUUUAAUAACACAAAACAUAAAAAAAAUUAUAUAGUUAAACAAGUUUUACUUUUUAUUUGGUUAAAAAUCUUUAACUUUUGUAUCUAUAACAUUUAGGUGUUGAAUUAAGGAUUAUAGUUUGAAAAUGUAUGUUUUUGCAAACUAAGAACAAGAAAGAUGAAAUAUUUAAGUUGAAGAUAAGUAUUUAAAUAAGUUAUAACAACUCUUAUCUCUUUUGUAUGGAUGUAUUUAAAUUUUACCAUUUCAACUUUUAAUUAUUUUAUACUGAUAAGUGUGCCAACAAUGUAUUAAAAAACAAAAUUCACUUUAAAUUAUACUUUACUAAAAAGUUAUAAAAUAAAUUGUUUUUUAACUUAUAAUUGAAUUUCUAUAUGAAAGUCAAACAAAUCCUAUCUCAUUUUCUAUAUAAACCAAUUAUUCUCUCUUCACUCUUUUACUUACAUAAUGCACCAUAUUCGAAAAUGGUAAUACAAUAAAAGUAGCUAUUGCAAUUUUAAUAUAAAUUUACACUCACAAAAAAUCUAAUAAAUAAGUAUGUUCAAUUUAUUAAUUGAUUUAUCUUCUCAAAUUUUAAUGAAUUAUUAAUUUUCUCUCUCUAAUGUGUCUUUAAAUUAAUUGCUCUUUCUUACUUAAAAUAAAAUUUAUAAGUAUGCAAAGGAAGCAUUAAAGAAAAAAUAAAUAAUUAAAUAUUUACUAAAAAUACAGGUAUAUUUUUUUCUUUCACAUAAAUUUAUAAUUUAUAUCACUUCUUUUAUAUUAUUUUCAUUCAAAAUGAUAAUUACACACCAAUUACAAAUAAUAUAUAUAUAUAUAUAUAUAUAUUUUAUAAAUAUUAAAUCUUAAUUUUUAAAAUAAAAUAAUAUAAUAAAAAAUUUGGACACAGUGCACGUGCUUCCCAUUAGGAUGUAUUAAAAAAAGUGAAAUUAUUUUAUUAAAAUUGUUUUUCAAAAUUGCUAUUCUUAAUAUGUUGGUGUUGUUGUGUUGUGGAUAGUGGCUGACUCCAAUCCAACCAAAGCAAAGUGAGUAACCGCAAAAAGUCUUUGCUUCCAUUCACGGUUAGCUUCUCUCUCUCAACUCUCUGCUUUCCCUGCAACAAGAUUAGGGCAUUCAAAACUCAACACUCACUUCCCCAAAAGCUUCUUCUUUUCUACUUCCCUUUUGGACGCUAUCACUUUCUCCCUGUUAGGGUUUUUUUUCUUUCCAAUUCCCCCUUCUCUGUUCUCAAUUUGCACACUCAACUUGAGUUUUACACUCUUGGUGCUGCGAAUUUCAAACUGAGUAACGUAACCGUCGUUCGUGUGUUUCGCUUUUCAGAUGGCGUUGCAGGAGAGGUUGGACAAGUUCAAGAAGCAGCAAGAAAAGUGCCAAACGACACUGUCAAGCAUUGCAGCAAGCAAGGCCGCAGCAAGCCAAAAAUCUGCCGCGCAUGGCUCGGCCAAUGGAAGAAACGCGCCCCCUGCGGUUAAGUUUUCGAACGACACGGAGAGGCUUCAGCAUAUUAACAGCAUACGUAAAGCCCCUGUGGGUGCUCAGAUGAAGCGUGUUAUUGAUCUCCUUCUGGAGGUACCUAUCCAAUUUGCCUCCAACUGUAUUGGUCUUUGUUUCAUCGGGUUUGUGGUUUUAUUCUCAUUCUUUUAUGGUACUAGUGAUGGAUAAGUCACCCUCAUGAUAGAAAAAUAAAAAAUGGAGUUUUUCUUGGCACUUGCAUGCUUUGGGUUGUCUGCAUGUUAAGUCCUGUUUGGAUAAACAUGUCAACUGACACUUGACAUUGUUUGGAUAAAUUUCUCAAAAAAAACUUGGGCAUGUCAAUUAAACUUCUCAAGAAACACUUAGGUAUUGUUUGGAUAAAUUUAAAAUUAACUUUUGAAUAAGUUAGAAUUAUCUUAUGCAUAAGGUAAAACCAACUUUUGGAGAAGUUAAAUUAGAGAAUUUCUAUAAAAUGAAGUGUAUAAGUUGAUUUUAACUUAUUGGAGAAGUUUAAUUCAUUUUAUCUUUUUCUUUUAAUUUUCUACUACUUUUAAUUUAGAAAUUUGUCCAAAUUAGGUUUCAGUUUUAAAUUUCAAAUCUGUGUUCCUAAAUCACCGAUGAGGAGAUUUUUUUUCCGUAAUAGUCCACCGGAUGUGUAUAAUAUAACCAUAAGAAUCUACAGGACAUGUAUAACCACGCUUUUGUUUCAGCCUUCUUGAAGUUAAUUUGUGGCUAAUGAAUCUGAAAUGGUGAUUGAUGCUGUCUAAGGUUGAUGGAUUUGUUUUAUCAUUCUCUUAUCUUUAUGUGUUUGCCGACAGACGAGACAAGCUUUAACACCGGAGCAAAUAAACCAGGCAUGCUAUGUUGACAUAAAGGCUAACAAAGAUGUCUUUGAGAAUCUUAGGAAAAACCCAAAAGUGAAUUAUGACGGCCUACGAUUCUCUUACAAGGUUACUUUUAUUCACGCACCUACAUGAUAUAUCUGUACUACUGUAGUUCUUAACAUUCAUUUAUGCGGAUGAUCCUUUAGAAAAUAACAUGUUCCUCUUCUUUUGUUGUUUGCUUUUGGUCUGUAGUCAAAGUAUGGUCUUAAGGACAAAACAGAACUUCUUCAACUGAUACGCAAGUAUCCUGAGGGCCUUGCGGUUAUUGACUUAAAAGAUGCUUACCCCACUGUGAUGGAAGACUUGCAGGUAAAAUGACUUUUAUUAGAUCCCCCCAUUGAGCAUUUCUUGGUAUUGAUUUUCCGGGACACUGGUUGUUUUUUCCUAGACUAGAUAUAUGUAAUAAUUUCUUUUACAUUUGACUCAUGUCUACAUAAUGUAUUUUGGAGAAACAUGAAUGCACGUUGGUCCGUUUGUAAAUUUAUUUUGCCACUUUCUCCUAACAAUUAUACUAUAGCAUUUAGGUUAGUACCGAGGCAAUGAAACCAUUUUUUUAAUCAGUCAUUAGAAAACCUUGCUGUCAAAGGUGCCGCUAGCUUGAGUGCAGUUCAAUCUUUCCUGAUACACAUAUUGGGUUUGGACUUUGGAGCUGUGUUAACGGGCAGAAUUUCAGGUGUUCUUACUGCAGGAGUUCAAUUUGAAGGCCAUCCUGCCUAGUAGUAUAAAAAAACACGUUGAAAUUUUCCUCCUUGCAUUUCUCUGCAUCUGUUUUGUCUUUCCUUUUGUAUUUUUUUCCAAGAUCAUUGACCUUGCUUAUUUUCUUAUUGAGGUUUAUGCUGACAUAUCAAUGGAUAUCUUGUUUGCUUUUUAACAAAAUAUGUAAAUAAGGAUAGAACCAUUUGAUGAAGUGGAAUUAAAAUGACUUCAAUUAGAUGACUUGUAGUGCUAGUUAAUGUUUUUGCACAAAUUGCAGAGUCAAAAUGUUGAAAAUAAAUGUUUUUAUCAUGGAAUAGGACCUUAUAGACCUUUCGGUUUGUAGGCUUUGAAAGCUGCAGGGCAGAUUUGGCUGCUGUCCAACUUUGAUUCACAGGAAGACAUUGCCUACCCUAACGACCCCAAAUUGCACAUUAAGGUUGAUGAUGAUCUAAAACAGCUUUUCCGGGGUAUUGAAUUGCCUCGUGAUAUGAUUGAUAUAGAGAAGGAUCUUCAAAAGAAUGGAAUGAAGCCCGCCACCAACACUGCAAAGAGGAGGAGUGCAGCACAAAUUCAAGGCAUUUCUUCCAAGCCCAAGCCUAAGAAAAAGAAGAGUGAAAUCAACAAGAGAACGAAGCUGACCAAUGCCCAUCUUCCAGAGCUUUUUCAAAACUUGAACAAUUCCUGAUUAGCUCUCAACUAGUGUUGUAUUAGUUCAAAUAGACAAUGUAUCAGACAGCCUAUAAACUAGAUUAUUAGACUGAAAUAGUCAGGAGGUUCUUGCUGCUCUUUCCUACUCUUAUUUGUUUAGAAUUUUUAUUUUUUAUUUUAUACAUCAAGGCUGUAGCUGACGGACUGUUGUGAUCUGUAACAACUGGUAAUAAUUUGUGAAUCCUUGUAUAUUAAAACCAUGUUAUAUUCAUUUUCCUAGUCUUGUAACUUUCUAUACAUCAAUUAGUAGAUCGAAAGUUCAAUUCUUUUAUUCAACUCUACAAGUGAAACAAAGCAUUUCUUUGCAGUAUAAACUACCCAAUGUUUCAAAAGUGGGUUUGUUUGAAACACCCGGAUCUCCACUUAAGCCUGCAACAGUCCUAUAUGUAGUUCUGGACUUCAAUUGUGAUCAUGCUUAGUAAUCAAAAUUAGCACUGAUUACAGGUUGCAGACAGAGGCCAGAUUCCCGAGUACAAAGCAAGCUGUGAAAAUACCUACAAUACUUGCAAACCCCGGUAUAAAAACAAACCAACAAAAUAUCUAUUCUGCUGAUACAUUUUUUUGUGUCAGCCCACCUAGAAAUGAAAGGAAAAAUAGACUAUGAAUGCUAAUGUACGAGGGAGAUUAAUUAAAAAAAAGGAUGGUGAAUUGUGAUAGAAUGACAGUGAAGAUGUUGGUAAAAUAACUAUAAUAAAAAUUAUGAUGUAUAAAAAUUAUUGCUUCAUAGGUGUAAAUUUGAAUGUUGUGUAAAAAGUUUUUAAAUGAAUAAAUGAGAGAGAGAGAGAGCAACAGAAAGUGUAGUUCACUUAAAAUGUAAGGCGCCAAAUUUUGCGUGGUAUUUAAAUGAAAGGCGUUGGUUUUUCCCAGUCCACCCAUUUUUUUUUCCAGCCAAUUUGUUGCUUUUGUGAUAAAAUAAAACUCAGUGUCGAUUUUAUCGGAGAAGAGAAGCGCAAAGCUGAAGGAAAUGGGUUUUGCGAUGCAAUGGUCAAGCUAUGGCUCUUGUGUUUCUCUUUCUAUCCCUCAUCGGUUCCCCCAAGCCCUUCUAUCUUUUCACGGUCUGUGAAUUUCCCCCUUCAACUCUCAAUUCCAUUGAUCUUCAUUUUUUUAACCCUUAUCACAUCAAUUCCAAUUUCUUUUCCAGCUUACCACUGGAACCGAUUCCAGACUGCGCCAAAGAAUCAAAGGAUAACGGUUCUUUGUGGCGCCGACCACCGAAGCUCCAGCCUAGGUUCUGAGAGGAAAAGGUCUCUGCUGCCAUUCAUUGUUGCACUUCCAAUUUUCAUCUUCUGGAUUUUCUCCUUUUUUAUAUGAAUAUCAAUGUUUCAAUUUCUCGUAGAAAAAUCGUGGAACACGUUUGUCUGCUGAAAGCAAAGAAGGAUUUAUCAGAAGAGGAAGAGAACGACAUGCUCGAUUACUUGUACACUACGCAGUACCAAAUGAGUGGUGUUGUUGCAAUUUCAUUAGGUGGAGCGGCGUACAUCAUAUGCAUUCCCUAAUUACGUACCUUUAUCUACCGUUGCUUUAAAUUAACCCCCCUACGUGUGAUCUAGUGUUAGUUCCUUUUGUUGCCAAUGACCUUGUUGAUUCUUUAGGGCGCAUUUCUGCUCCAAAUCCAGAGCGUUACACGCAUGCAAUGUUUAUGCGGUUUCAGAAGAAGCAAAAUCUUGAAAAGUUUUAUGAGAAUCCCUUUUACUUGAAGGUUCUCAAGGAUCAUGUACUGACUUACUGCCAUGUAUGCACCAACAUGUAAACACCGAUUCUCUGUUUCCUUAUUUUACGGUUAUUGCUGCGUGAACCUCUGGGUGUGAGCAGUUUAACUUGGUUUUCAUUUGAUUUAUGUUUCAGGGAUUAGUCGAUGUGGAUUUUGAAUCGGAAGUGGAUGAUGAGAUGCUUUCUAUAUUUCGCAAAGGAGAGGUUGGGCUAUAAAUUAAAGGGUUGUUCAUUAAAUGUUGAUUUGACCAUAAGCUAGGGCCACAAAUUCUAUUCACAUUAGAAACUUUGAAAGGAAACGGACAUAAAUGCAUCUAUGUUGUCAAUAUUUGCUCUUGUACAUUUUAGGUUAAGGUGUCGCUUUUUUGUUCAUAUCUCAUUACGUAUGUCACGUCCUGUUUCUGAUUCUUGCAAUGUAUAUACCAGGAGUUCAACCAUGGAGUGGAGUUUGUGCUUCUAAUAUCAUUUAAUGAGGCUGCCCUUGGUAAGCAGGCUGAGCAUGCAUUGGCCUCUCUGGCAUCGGUGAUGUCUGAAUCUCCUUCCUUGAUAGUUCAAUUUACUCUAGGUAAGCUUCCAGUACCACCAUCACUUAUACAGUUGUUUCCUUCUUAAUUUUCUUGUUCUGUUGGCUCAUCAAAAGUUAAAAAAUUUCACAAUAGAAUAGUAUGAAAGUUAGGGUGAGCUUUGGCACAAUGGAAAGGUUACUGCCUAGUAACUAAGAGAUGGCGGGUUCAAAUAUUGAAACAACCUCUGUGCUUGACCCCACUUGGUGGGAGUGCAGUUGGUUGCACUGUAUAAAAUAGCACGAAGAAUAUCCUUUUCACUGAAUUUUGAUUUGUAACUGCCUAACUGGGUUAUUACUAUAUUGCCAGGUUUGAAUUUUAGUCCAAGCUCUAAGGAGUAUACUCACGGAGUUGUGAUACGAUUUCGAUCAGGUAAUCUAAGUCUCAUGAUCUUUAGCAUCUGUUUUCGUUUCAGUACAGCACUGGUACUGAUUGAUGAUGACAUUUCUUCUGCAGUUGAGGCAUUUGAGAUAUUUAUAAACAGCAAAGAGUACAAAAAUGUAAGAAACCUUUUAUUGUUUCUGACACAUUUGGAUUUGGGCUGUUAUUUUUCUUACAGAUUUUGGUCUAAAGUAGCGUGUAUUGUAUUUUAGAGACGAUUAUAAUUUCAUCUCCAUGCCACACUUUAAACAGAAAACGUAUCUGAAUGUAUUCUUUUUCUGUAAACAAUAUAAUUAUAAAUUUUGCUUGGGUUUGUGUUGUCGUUUUCUCUAGGUAAAUGACAAUUGUAAUUAGUUGGGUGACGGUCAUUUUUAGGUUUCUUUGAGAAUGGGUUUUCGGAGGGAAAUGGAAGAGAGGUUAAAUUUUUCAUUUCUAAUAAAUAUUUCUAAUUUGAUACCUUUUUUUAAAGUAAAUAACGUAAAAUGAUAGAUUAGUAUAAUUUUUCUUUUACCCUUCGCUUGUUUAAGUGUACAUUAUAUAUUCCCUUAAUUUAAAAUUGAAAAUUUUUGCUUGAGUACAUGAAGUACAUCAUAUAUUGCCCUUUUGAGUUUUUCCAUUUUGAUAAUUUCAACUUAAUAAGAUGAAUUUCUAAUGAGCAAAUUUGAAUAUAACUUCAUGAUGUAAGUGUAUUUAAAAAACUAAACUAUUACCACUGUAACCAUAUCUUGGGAAAAUGCACAGCAAGGUUCUAAGUUAUCUUUGAAUUUGAAAAACAGGUAUGGCAUUCUAAGUUCCAGCCUAUCGCUCACAAAUCUUUGUCUCUUCAUUUUUCUGUUGAUCCUGUGGGAACUGAAAUUAUGUAGCGAGGAUGUUUUAUGGUAAGUUUUUACAAUUCACUCACUUGGCUUAUGUGGAAGGGAGAUUCAUAUUUCACAUAUUUUAUGCCAAAUGUUUGCAGGUUGUCAACAAGAGAUGCGGCUUGGUUUUCUCUUUUUAGAAACAAGGGUGAAGGUUAUUUCCUACCUUUUGUUUUCCCUUUGUUUUUUGCCAUGAAUUAUGAAUAUAGUAUAGGUGUCCACUUAAUUGCCUCAGUUUUUUUGUUUAUUUAUACAUUUGCAUGUAAAAUUGUGCAUUUUGCCAAAGUCCUUCUUUAUACAUUUUGCCAAACUUAAUUCCAUCUUUAUAUUGCUUUGCCAAAGUAUUACAUGGUACUUUUUUUUCUCCGGUAAAAAUUGUUGCAUAAUUUCAAUACUGGUCUAUGGACAUAUGCUAAACUAUCAGCUAUUUAUCAGUUAAACCACUACGAGUCAACGAAAAUAGUAUUGAAACUCCCUGUGAGGGGAGGACUUGGAUGGGUGAUCUUGAGAUAAGAGUCUAUUCAGAAGAUACAUUGUUUUCCCCCACCAACCACACCAAAAGAUUCCCUUUUUAUCAAUUUAUAACAAUAUUGCAUUAAAUUUUUUAUUUAAUUUUUUUUCAUUAUUGUUGAGGGUUUGGUUUUUAACCGAGAUAAUAAUAUUGUGUAAUCCAUGUAGUCAAUCUCAUCUAGCGAGAUAGGUUGUUGACAAAGAUUGAGUAAAUAUUCAUGCAUGUCUACUGUUACCUUCGCUGUUAGCACUUACCAUUUUGUUAUGUUCCCAGCAAGCACAUCAAAUGGUAUAAGCAGUGAAAUGAAAAGUCCAAAUAUGUGUUUUCCUGAAAGACUUGCACAAUAAUUACGAAAUUUACAAUUUCUUACUACCUAGACUAAUUAAUUUAUGAAAUAUUGCUAUAGAAGAGAUUAAUGACUAUUUAGGAGUCACUAAGAGCUAAAAUAAUAAAGACAAGUAAAUACUAACGAGGCUCGUGCAAACAAUAUGAAAAUGUUGGGGUUGGAUUUCACUAAACACCAUACUCUUCUUGCAUUUCUCCAUUUUGAGAUUAAAAGAAAUGAGAAUUUGGGUUGGCAGCUGGGCUUUUAUUCUUAACCUCGGGAAAUCUGAGUUCUCCAGAUUGAGCUUUAGAGUAACACUUAAGGAUGAUAAAUUUGACUUUGAAAACUCAAUUUGUUUCCACUAUGAGUUUCACUUUAUCUUUCAAAAGCUUUAUUGUCAAAGUCCUGCAAUCUUGUUACGGAGACUUCUUUUACUGCUAUUUACUGGCAUGUGAGUGAAAGAAAUUGGGGGAAACUACCAAAAUCUAAGUAAAUAUCAAUCUUGAAAGAAAAAUGAUAUUUAGUCAUAAUUUCUUUUACAGUCACCUUAUUAUGUUUCUUUCUUUCAUUGUUCAUAUUUUAGUCAGAAGUUCCCUUUUAGCAUACCUUCUACCACAAAUUAUUCAGAUUCCCAACCCGAGAAUUACACAGGUCAUAGAGAAUUUUAAACAUAAUUUUUGUUUGCAAAUUUUCAAGAACACUUUAUUCUUUUGGAUAAAUGUCUGCAUAGUUCAUUAUUUUUCCAUUGAAUCAAAGUACAAUUUCUGUCUUUAGAAGACUUGGACGAUGAUGCUCAAGAACUAUCCAUUCUACAUCUUUAAUGGGAAACUAAAAAAUAUUUUACACCAGAAGCCUGCAAAAACUUGUAUAACUUGACAAGCAGCAGAUUGAUAGAUAGUUGAUCAGUUAUGAAGGGGGUUUGGACCCCCUGGAACAUCUCGUAGGGAAACUCCAUAAAGUGGGUGGACCUUUUCUGUGCUAGGUCCCUGUUGUGUCUUUGUAUAGAAAUGCCAUGAGAUUGAGAGCCGUUGAGAAGAGGUGCUUUUUUCUUUUUGCUUGAUUUCCUUAUUCAUCCAUCUGCCGGCCUUGCAGCAACUUGAGAGCUGGCUAAGCAUCAGUAUAGUCAUUAAGAUCAGAAGUGAGAGCCUUGAAUAUUGAACUGCCAUCACUGCAGUCUUGUGAGUUGUGAGAAACAUAAAAUACCAACUAACACAGUAAUAAAGAGAAAGCCUGAAUUUAGUUAUUCUCUUAUGCAGGACAGUUUAUUGUCCCUUUAUACGAGGUCAGGGAAGAAUUAGAGAAGAUAGAGCCAAAACUAAAUUGAUUUCAGUGAAAUGGCCAAACUGCCCACUGACCAUAAAUGGAUUUGCUGUCCGACCAUUGCUGGACUAGUUGACAAAACAGAAUCAAGAUUAAGCAAUUGUGCUUGUUUCAGGCACAGUUGCGUGUGUUCACUUAUUUUGAUUCAGGUCAUUUAGUUGGAAUUUCACUCUGAUGAUUCAGAUAACUUUCGGAAUAGCCGGGAGGAUAUAAUUAGAUACUUCUGCAUUAAACUUGAACACAUGAUUAAUAAAAGUUGUGCUUUUAAAUUAUUGUUCAAGAAAGCUGGAGUCCUCUUUGGUCCUUUUAUUACUCUGGUGGAGUGCCAAAGAAAAAUACUGCUUAGAAAAAGGAUGUGACAGUUGACUUUUCUAUCAAUUGGGUCUAUUAUGGCGCUCAUUUAGAGUUUUGUAAUUUAAUCGUGUGAUAAUAAUUGCGAAGACUUGUGCAUGCUUUCACAUACACCCUGUUCUUGGAUUAGAAUGACAGGUAGUGUUGGUAACAUUUUCCGAUUUAAAUUUUGUCUUUCCUCGUCUGCUCUGGCCACUAAUCUAGUAUUAUUGAUAAUCAGAAGGGAUAUUUAACUAUUUCUUAAUUCGUGAGACCUUCGAUUGGUUUCCUCAGGAACCUCAUCUAGUCAAUACCAAAAUCAUAGUACUGAUGCAAAAGCAGCUGUCUGGUUGCUCUUGCUCUUCCAAGUCAUUUCGUAGUCUCAAUUAUGAGCGAACUGUUGAAGAAUGGGGUCCCUGAUAAGAAAUCAAAAGAGAAUGGAUUUUUGAAUUCCUUGUCUCAAUCUUUUUAUCCUCAUCUGGUAUAUCUAGUAGGUAUGCUUUCAAGCACCAUUACUUGUGAAGUUGGCUACCUUCGAGUCAAUGAAAGAGAUAAAUGGGUUGUCAUAAGUUGAUGCUUCUGAGUGUAGCAACUGUUUUGCACAGAAGGUCGUGGCUAAAACCACAUUAAUGAGGGCCCGUUUGGCGCAUGUUCUAAUUGACUAGACUUAUUGGGGUUGGAAUUUCAUUGUGCACUAAAUAAAUACAUAAAUAAAACUAGGGUCAUUCUCAAUCAUCUGUCUCUUUGAUGAGUGUACAAGUAUAAACCUGCACCGACGGUAGAAGUUGAAUCAUGCCAGCAGUGGUUAGGACUUGGACAUUAUCCGCAUGUAUUGAAUAUGUUCAAAUCUAAAGGUCACGAUGAAUGAUGAUAUAAAUUAGUAGUGACUGUUUUUGGACGGAACCCAAACCUAUGUGCUUAAUCACCUGGAGCCUCUUCCAUUUGAACAUUUUAUACUUUAAUUGAAGAUCGUCAGGAAAAUUCAAAUAGUGUUAAUUAUUAGCUGCUUCUCUCUUUGUUACUCCAGUUUUAUGAGUUCCUUUUAUUUUAACUAUAUUUUUAAUGCCUGAGUUGUAUAAUGCGCUUAUAUUGGGACAGGACAAGAGAUUUGUCCAAACAAGUUUUGCUUGUUCAAACUUCAAUUUACCCAAGUUGAAGAACUCAUUUUCUGGGUUAAUUGAAAAGCAAGUAGGCACUUACAUUGGUGCUAAAUAAAUUGUCAGCUUGAUUAUCGUGAUUUAUGACUAGUUAACUUUUUCUUAAUCACCACGAUCACAUCUCUGGGUUUUUGAUUCUUACAGGUUGAGUUUAUUGUGAUUAUGCUGUGCUGUUACAUGUCUCUUGUUGCAUCCUAACGGGGAUACCAAUUUGACUCCUGAAUAACAAGGUGGACCCAGGAUCAGUUUAAUAUGGCCACGGUUAUUUAGGUCAAGGUGAUUUCGUGUUGAACAAUGUAAUGGUCCCAUAAUAGUACUCGUGGGGGUGCAGGACAAACGUCAAAACAGAUAAUUUAACAUUCUUUUUCUGUUGUUGAUGUUGACAAUCUCUAUUUUAAAGAUACUUCAAAUCUUAAUUUAAGUGGUUAACAAUUUGUCUAAAACUUUUUAUUUUGUAAAAUCUUAAACUUUGAUAUAAUUGAUAAGAGACUGCUUUCCUUGUGACUUUCAAAUAUUUUAUUAUAUUUGAGAAACCUAAAUUCUUUUUCAUUUAGGACCUGGUUGGAUCUAGAAGUGGAAAAGCAGAAACAGAAAGAAUACAGAAAGCUGGAAAAACGAAAAAUAAAUCAUUGAAAAACAUAAAAAAUAAGAUAGUUUAUCUUAAACUAUUUUCUUAAUUUUGAAGAGAUUUGAAGAUUUUUAUAAGAUUUUUUUACACUUCCUCUCAACCCAAACAAAUAAUAAAAAUAAAUGAAAUUAAAAUAAUAAUAAAAUUAAAAUUAUUAAAUAAUUUUAAUAAUUUAAUAAUAAUUUAAUAAUAAAAUUAUAAUUUGUUAACAUUUUAUAAAUACAUCAUUUUAUAAUUCUUUUUAAAUUUAUUAUAUCUAUCAUGUUUCUCACAAUUUUUCACUUAUAUAUUUUUUAAUCCAAACCAUAUUACUUUUUAUUUUCUUUGCCUUCUUUUUAACUCUCUCAAUUUCAUUCUUCAAUCCAAUCCAAAACAUUAAAAAACCUAAGAGAUUGUACACAGAUGUUUCCUUUAAUAGAAAUUCUAAAUUUUUAUUUAUUUAUAAAAUUAUUACAAAAUGUUAUCACACUUGUAUAU